rnacentral:lncRNA from 1 species
UAUUAUUGAGACCAACUAGCAACAUAGAAAGCACAAUAUUGUACCAAUAAUGGCAGCCAAAAUAUUUUGCCUCAUUAUGCUCCUUGGUCUUUCUGCAAGUGCUGCUACGGCGAGCAUUUUCCCGCAAUGCUCACAAGCUCCUAUAGCUUCCCUUCUUCCCCCAUACCUCUCACCAGCGAUGUCUUCAGUAUGUGAAAAUCCAAUUCUUCUACCCUACAGGAUCCAACAGGCAAUCGCAGCAGGCAUCUUACCUUUAUCACCCUUGUUCCUCCAACAAUCAUCAGCCCUAUUACAGCAGUUACCUUUGGUGCAUUUAUUGGCACAAAACAUCAGGGCACAACAACUACAACAACUCGUGCUAGCAAACCUUGCUGCCUACUCUCAGCAACAGCAGUUACCUUUGGUGCAUUUGUUGGCACAAAACAUCAGGGCACAACAACUACAACAACUCGUGCUAGCAAACCUUGCUGCCUACUCUCAGCAACAACAGUUUCUGCCAUUCAACCAACUAGCUGCAUUGAACUCUGCUGCUUAUUUGCAGCAACAACAACUACUACCAUUCAGCCAGCUAGCUGCUGCCUACCCCCGGCAAUUUCUUCCAUUCAACCAACUGGCAGCAUUGAACUCUCAUGCUUAUGUACAACAACAACAACUACUACCAUUCAGCCAGCUAGCUGCUGUGAGCCCUGCUGCCUUCUUGACACAGCAACAUUUGUUGCCGUUCUACCUGCACACUGCGCCUAACGUUGGCACCCUCUUACAACUGCAACAAUUGCUGCCAUUCGACCAACUUGCUUUGACAAACCCAGCAGUGUUCUACCAACAACCCAUCAUUGGUGGUGCCCUCUUUUAGAUUGCUUAUGAGUUAUAGUUCAAUAAUAAAGUUUUUUUUGCUGAUAUUUGUGGCUUCCCAGAAAUAAGAAAGUACAUUUCUAGAUUCUUAUGUGCUUCUAGUCUCCAAAUGUGGUUGAUAGUUAUUUUGCUCUAAGAUCGGCAGUAAUGAGGUAUAAAUACUUGUUGUCGUGUGCUACUCGGUUAAUUGAGCAUUAACACACAUAAACAUUACAAGGAUGGUAUAAUCUCCUAAAAUGUGUACAUUGUUAGGUGUAACCCUAUAGCCAUGCAGAAUGUGCUAUGUUAGGCAUGCCGAUGGAAACGUGUGACACAUACGUUUUGUUAACCUAUUGAUAUUAUAUGUGCCUUUUAUAUUACCAUAUUUUAUUAAAAUACUAAUAUUUAUUACUAGUAAGAUAUAACAUUCUAUCUAGCUUAAAAACUAACCAUAAAUAUUCCAUCAUAACUAGAUUUACCAAACUAAUAUACUAAAUAUACAUAAUAAAUACAAAAUUAACAAUACAAUAUCAAUAUUUAUGAGCUUAAUAAAUUUAAACAUUAUGGUUGGCCGACGAUAAUCAUACUGACUUUCCGUAAUUGCUUGAUUGUAAAUAUACUUAGACUAAUGCCUCUUUGUUCUACAUGGCAAAUAGGGACCACUCUAGGAGACUAGGAUGUUGCUUGAGACGAAGAUGUUAUCAUUGGUGUAGACUAAUUUCUAUCAGCCGCUGACUUCACUAUUGUAACCAUUAUCUCUUGGGUAAAUCAUAUACGAUUAUCUAGCCAAAGGCCCAGAUGAUAAAAACAAUUUUUAAUUGCUAUUUCAGGACAAAUGAAUUAGCAUGGUUCGAAGGAUUGCGACCUUCCCCCCAUGACUUUUAUCGUAUUGUGUUAGUCUAAUCGACAAAACCAAGAUUAGAUAUCAUCGAAGAAGUUGAUAAGCGAAUCUGUGACCACUAUCAGAAUCAGCUGCUUUGCCGAGUGUCUAAAACACUCGACAAAGCCUGAAAAACACUCGGCAAAGGAUUUGCCGAGUGUAACACUCAGCAAAGAAAGCUCGGCGAAGUAUACAUCGGCAACGACUUCUUUGCCGAGUACUUUUUAUCGGGCACUUGGCAAAGAAGCGUCAUUGUCACGACGAUAGGUAAUGCCGACGGAGUCUGUGACGAGUGUCACAGAGUGACGCUCAGCAAAGGCUCACUCUUUGCUGAGUGACCACUGUACAGACACUCGGCAAAGAAGCCCCCGUGGGUCCCUUUAUCAGGGCCUUUGCCGAGCGUAUUAGGUGGCACUCGGCAAAGGCUCCAUCUUUGGUGACUGCCCGCCAGACUAGCAAUCGACAAAGGGAUCAACAGCGGAUCCCUUUGUCAGUUCUUUUGUCGAGUGCUCUAGGAGGCACUCAAUAAAGCUUGUGUUGGGGGCCUUCUUCUUCCGAAGGUCCUCAAAAACGUGACUAACCAUAGGUUUUCAGUAUGACAUAGACUAUUAUAGGAAGCUUUGGCUUUGGGAUGAAGGCGUGUGAUAUGAGGAUACAGCCCAAAGGCAACAUGGAUGGACGUCGAAGCUAUGGCUAAAGGAGUUUCGGCUUGGCAUGUUAGCGAAGAUGAAGGACGAAACCGACCUAAGGGAGAAAAGACUAGUUAGUCCUUGAUAGUUUGCAUUAUGAUUAAGAGCAGAUAUCAGGGGCAUGCAUGUAAUCUUAUCCGGGCUGCGUCCCGUGCCUAUGAAUAGAUGAAUAGUAACACCGUACUGUUCACGCUGGAUUAUAAUCGCUCCUACGUCACUCUCGCGUCUUCACCUUUUGGUAAGCUGAAGGUAUCAAUGUAAUACAAAUAUUGAUGAUGUUUAUUCAUGUUUAUGAAAUGAGAAUAUAAAUAGCUUGCUGAUUCGUAAUCAUUAUUUAUAUUCUUUUGUAUUUCAUGUACCCUUAUUUAGAUGUGUUCACUGAGAUGAUGAAGGUAUGCCCUUCAUGACCUUCGUUCGGAAACCAUUAUAUCCAAAAGGAGAUAAUGCUUCGAAGGACGAAGGUCUCUAAUUAUUGACAAUCAUGUUGUCUUGUUCUUGAUGUAUAGCAUUUGGGAACAAGGACCAACAUUGGCGCCCACCUCCCGUGAACUCAAUCGACCACCUUCGGCAAGCAUCGACUUUCGUAAUGCCGCCGAAGAAGACAAUAGUGCCAGGGGCUGCCCUGCAGCCACUGGACACUAAUCAGGAAACGCUGCGAGAAGCUAGGAUCUAGAAGAGGAAGGCUACUAGCCCAACACCUCAGGAGGAGGAGCUAGAUCAGGAGAUCAGAGAUUUGGAGGCUAUCACCAGCAGGUACAAAGAAAAAGGGAAAAGAUGCUUCAGCUCGUCGAACUUCAGAGAAAGAUCGACAAAGCUGCUGAAGAAAUGCGUCACCUUACCCAGGAUGACCAAGACCGAAGGCCCCAACAUAGGGAGCUUCAUCAAGAAAGCCCAAUUAAUGACGAUGAGUGGUAUGGUGACUUUCAUCGUGGCAAUUUUGCUUUUGAUGAUGCUUCUCCCUUGGCAGCAGAAUUGCAGGCUACCCCGUGGCCGCCAUCAUACAAGCCACCUCAGCUCCCCAUGUAUGACGAGCACUCAGACCCGAAGCAACCAUAUCCUCAUAUGGGGGCAAUACUGCGGUCAUGGCAAAGUCCUUCGUCAUGGCAGUUAGAAGCGUGGCUCAAACAUGGUGCUCUUCUCUUCGGCCAGGGACAAUUACGUCGUGGCAAAAGCUAAAAUACAUACUGGUCACUAGCUUCUAGGGUUUCCAAUCGAAACCAGUUACUGUCCAAACUCUGUUCCAGUGCACACAGGACCAAGAAGAAUACCUCCAAGCGUAUGUCCGAAGGUUCCUGCGAUUGAGAGUUCAGGCGCCUACAGUGCCCAAUGAGAUUGUCAUUGAGGCCAUGAUCAAGGGGUUCAGACCAGGACCAACGGCGCAAUACUUUGCAAGGAAGCCACCACAAACCCUAGAGAAGCCGACGAUGAUUUUCGGCAAAGAAGGCAAGAAGCCUACAGAUACUCUGAGAUGGCCAGGGGCUUCGGAGGAAGAUUUCACCCUAGGCAUGUCAGGUCAAUCCAUAAUACCAGCUCAAGUGACGACAAGGGAAACCAUACCCAAAGGCAGCAACACAGCUCUCAGUCGUCAGGAGCACAACAAAGCUCUUUGAGGCCACCGGCUCCAAGAGGUAGAGGGGGGAGAAGCUUCGGAGGAAGAUAUGGAGAUCAGCCCAGUAAACAGUUUUGUUUGUUCUGCGGUGAAGAUAAGGGGCAUACCACAAGAACGUGCCAAGUUAUGAUUCAGAAGCAGAAAGAAAUUGCUGAAGCUGAAGCACGUUCGAAUCAGCCGAAGCAGGUUCUGCAUACUGCUUCGUGCUACUCUCCCUACGUCCCGGAGUAUGUAGACAAUCAACAGCCUACGACCUUGGUCGCUUCGGCAAGCCAUUCUCAAGCUUCCUGGGCCCAGUUGCCACCACCACCACCGCUAGCACAUGCUCUGGUCCGCAAUCAAUAGCCAGAAGGGCACCACCAUGCUUAGUAAUAGCGCGACCUUCGGGAGGAGUCCGAAGCUCGCACAGUCAACAACAUUGUGCCUAAGUCGAAGCACAUCUAUUAAAGGUGCCACGGUGAUUCAAUUAAAGAAUAUCUUACCCUAAUGUAUCUUAGUUUUUCCGCCAUUUUAUUUUCUUGCAUGAAAAACAAUUCACGAAGGAUUAAUUUCCAAUUUGAUGUAAUAAUACCGUGGUCGCACCAUCGAGUGUGGAGCGCAUCGCCUUAACAAUACUUCCGAAGCUACAAAGACGUUCCUAAGGGAGCGCGGAGUAAGUUCUGAAGCUACAAAGUUGUUCAUAAGGGAGCGCAGAGUAAGUUCCGAAGCUCAAAAGUCGUUCUUAAGUGAAUGCAGAGCCAAGAUGCCACCAAAAUAAAAGGUGAAGAAGCUCAAAAGUCAUUCCUAAGGGGAUGCAGAGCUUAAAUGCCACCGAAAUAGAAGGUGAAGAAGUUCCAAAGUCGUUCCUAAGGGGAUGCAGAGCUUAGCUCCAAAGAUGUUCCUAAGGGGAUGCAGAGCUGAAAUAUAACCUAAGUAAAAAGUGAAGAGACUCAAAAGUCGUUCCUAAGGGGAUGCAGAGUCUGGAUGCAUUUUCGAGUGGGUGUGUUUCUUCGGCAUAAACAUCAUGCUGUAUCAUAUCAUCACAUCAUUUCUCAUAGCAUUACAUCAUACAUCACAUCACAUCAGCAACAGAACUGUGGAGAAGCAAAGAUGCUUCUUUCAAAAUAUUUGAUGAAUGGAACAAUGGGCUGAAGCAGAAAGUGUACCUUCAACAGCUAUAAUUUUACAUACCAAGAAAAAUCUUCGUCGACAAACAAUAUUAUAUAACAGCUACGACAUAAGAAGGGGUGAUUUUUUAUUUGUGAAGCAUGAAAAGAAGGGAAGGUGUUUUUUCACCAAAGGCUAAAAAACAGGUAAGUACAUACAUUUCAUGCAUCACAAAGAAAUAUAUUACAUUAAUAUACAAACAAAUGUUCGAUGUUCGACUCAUACACGAAUAUUACAUUUCUUAGUACACAAGAAUUUAGUCUUCUUUCAAUAUUUUCUCGGUAGCUUCAUGUAGGAGUUUGUUGACAGCUUCAUCAACGGCUUCUUCGGCAAUCCUUAUCGUUUCUAAUGCCCCCCUCAUGGCCGGAUCGGCCUCGGGAUCAUAUGGCUCAGGCGGUGGUGAAAAAUCAGCUGUAAUAAAGAACAAGUUGUUAAUAUCAAAGCCAGAAACAAAUACUGAAGCUAAAAUUCAGUAAUAAUACCUAUACGCCUUGCGCGCUCAGCAACCUCUUGGCUCGCUUAGCUUAUUCUCGAGCAUCAUGGGAUUCUUUUUCAUUUGUCUUUAUAGCUUCAUCGGCUAUCUCACGGCCACCUUUCAUCCAAACAUUGGAAUAAAACUUCUCGCCCAUCAAAGUAGCUUCGGCCGAAGGCUCCUUCAUGUCGUCUAUGGAGAAGACGGCUUCCGCCUGGGCUGCAGUUUUAACAUGUUCACAGCCAGUUUUCUCCAAAACUGCUGCAACCCCUCGGGCACCGGCGAAGGCACAAAAAUCCUCGCGUUCGCUAAGUAUUUCCUCAAAAGCUUCAACUUCUUCGCAAAUCCAUUGAACGACUCCUUUUGGAUCGCCUCGAAUAAAUUUUUGCUCCGAUGAGUAUGCACCCACCUUUGCAAAACUGUCUUUCAGUUUCUUUGCAUAGUCCAUGGAUACUUCGUAGCAUUUCUCUCUGGAACCCCGAAGUUCUUCAACAUUCUUCUCAAGCCUGGAGCUUGUCCAUUCACUUAUAUCUUACUUUGCCUUAGCAAGUUCAAUAUUUUCGCUCAUUUCGGCAAGUUUUUUGUGAAGGUCUUCGACUUCGGCUUGGUGAGCUUCGGAUUGUGCAUUAAGUUUUGCUUCGUUGCUCUUCAGUUUAUCCACCAAGGAAAGCAGUAUUUUAUCUUUUUCAAGCGCCUCGUUCCUUAAUGUAAUAACUUAUGACCGAAGGUUCCCAAGGGCUAUUUGGCAGCUUUCAUCUUCUGCAUUCUUUUGUGCCCUUAAAGCCUUGCUUAGGAUUAAUGCCUACAAAAAAUGAAGGAUCAGCACACAACAAUAAGAAAAGAUACAAAAAGUAAUCUGCUUAUAAGCUAAAAUGUCCUCACCAUCAGACUGUUAUAAGCAAGGAUGUCUGCAAGGUCAUCUUUCGACAUUGCAGACAACCCAAGCUCUAGCUUCGGGAAACCUAUAUUUUUUGCCAUCUCCCGACAAACAAAUAUUUUCUUGUUGUCUGGAAGGCAAUACAAAAAAUCAUCUUCGUCAGUGCCAUUAAACAUGAGGGAUCCUGGGGGAUACUUCAGAUCCUUAGCAAAUUGCCUAGCUUCGGCAACCUGCUCCUCUGAUAGUUUUUCCCUACCGCGUGACACACUAUAAAUUCCGAUCCCUCAGUAGAAGCUUCAACGGCAAGGAAUUCAGAUUCUUUGCUGGUUCUCUCUUUUCCUAACGGUAACGGAGCUUUUUCAGCAUCCAAAGGUCCUUUUUCAGCAUCCUUUUCAAUAAGCUCUGCAGGCCCUAUUUCUGCGGGAACUGAGGGCCCAGCUUCAGCUUCAACCCAAGUUAUGAUAGCUUCGGCAGUUUCCUUUGUACUUUUCUUACCCAUGCUAGGUACUUCUGUAGAGGCAGGAGUUAGUACUUUUGUCGAUUCCAUGACAGCAUCCAGUACACUAGCCAUUCUCCUCCUUUUUGGAGUUAUCAAAGUAGUUUUUUGAAUCUUCGGCAAUUCUGCCUCUGGCCGUGAAAAAGUUUUUGGCUGCUCCGCUGCUAUCUUCAGAAUUGGCUCUUCGGCUGAUCCCAAUAUGGCUUCGGCAGUAGCGAGAUGAUUUUGCUCAGCUGCAGAAGAAGACCCUUCAACAGGCUUUGACACUUUGGCCGUCUCAGAGUGCCUGGGCCGGUGUGUCAAGACUUUGCCAUUUUUCCCUUCGGCGUGGCAGAGAUUGCCGAAGCAGUAGCCUUCCUUUUCUUUCCCUGCUUUCGCGAGGGAUAACAAUAGUCUGGGUACACAAAACCAAUUACAUCAAAAACCCUAUUUAAUCUCUUCUUGCCUCGUCCUCCGAAGGCCAAUGUCAUGGCAUCGUCUUCGGCCCUUGUGUAGGCCCCAAGCAAUUCGUCACUAGUAGCCUCAAUGCAAUCCAACCAGUCAUCGUUCGGCUCAUCGAACUGAUCUCUGUAUCUGAAGGUGUAUUUCAGAUAAACUAAACUAACUUGACUGGACCCGGCCGCAGCUUCCUUCGACAUCUCCCAGCCACUUCCAAGAGGCCACACUCUGUAAGCAAUAUGCUCCUAGACUAAGUCCCUAGUGCCAAUAUAAGUACAUAAAGUGUUAAAGUCCGUAUGGCAUGCUUGAAUAUCAUGUCCAUGGACAGUGGUUGGCCUCCUAAUGCCGAAGCGAGACCAGAUAGGGCAUUGAAUGAUCCCCUUUAUAUCUUCUCUUUCAACUAAGUUGUUCUUCACAUAAAACCACUCUUGCAUCCAGGCUCCUGGCCACCUCUUCCAAAAUGUUGGGACGGGAUAGCUCACACCAGAGCGAGGCAUGAAGCCGUAACAACGAAAAUUAUUAUGAUAUUGUUCUAUGCCAGUAGCCUUUGUCUCAUAGGACAGGUCAUGCAUGUUGCAGAAGCAUUUUGCAUUCGGCUCUAAACCCUGGCCCAAAUGAAAACUCCCAUUCUGAUGAUAUCUUCGGGGGUAAUUUGAUGAAGGUAAAUUUCAAAAGUCUUCAAAACUUCAACUAAAAAUUUGUUCAGGGAGAAUCGAAGCCCUGCUUUCAUAGAACUCCUGUAGACAACAACUUCGUCUGCUUCGGGCAUAGGGGCACUGCUAUCUCCUCUGGCCCUCAUGAUAGAAAUAUCGCGGAAGUAUCUUCCUUUCAUUGCAUCAAUCUGACUCUGUUUGAUGGUUGAUUUAGCAAAGAUGGUAUGACUCGGUCGCCAGGGCUGAUCUUCGACAUCUUCGUUUCCACUUUCUAAGUCAAAACUUUCACUAUCGCUGGAAUCUUCAGACAACCCAACCAACAUCUCAUUGGUGAUCUUCUUCAUAUUUGUCUUCUCCAUAGCUUCAUAAAACCCGGCCAAUGCAGGGUCAGCAAUCUUCUUCUCUUUAGCCAUUUAGACAACGAUUGCACGAUUGUCGAAGCUUAAAACUCAAUCAAAACUCGACAGAGCAAGAGAAUUCAGAAUGUCUAAAAUAGCGCAAGCAACUGAAAUAGCACAGCAAAUGCUGCCAAUGCGAGUUUCUAUUUAUAUGCCUCACGAUUUGGUGGGCCAUACAUGUCAGUGGCUUUCGCUAUUCUAGCGAAGGGAAGGUGUUUUUUCGGAUCUUCGGUUAAAGGCCUUCGUUCACGUCACAGUCUAAAUUUGUUACAAAGAAACAAAUUAAUACUACGAGGGGCUACUGUUGGGGGCCUUCCUUUUCCGAAGGUCCUCAAAAACGUGGCUAACCAUAUGUUUUCAGUAUGACAUAGACUAUUAUAGGAAGCUUCGGCUUUGGGAUGAAGGCGUGUGAUAUGAGGAUACAACCCGAAUGCAACAUGGAUGGACGUCGAAGCUAUGGCUAAAGGAGCUUCAGCUUGGCAUGUUAGCGAAGAUGAAGGACGAAACCGACCUAAGGGAGAAAAGACUACUUAGUCCUUGAUAGUUUGCAUUAUGAUUAAGAGUAGAUGUCAGGGGCAUGAAUGUAAUCUUAUCCGGGCUAUGUCCCGUGCCUAUAAAUAGAUGAGAAGUAACACCGUACUGUUCACGCUGGAUUGUAAUCGCUCCUACAUCACUCUCGCAUCUUCACCUUUUGGCAAGCCGAAGGUAUCAAUGUAAUACAAAUAUUGAUUAUGUUUAUUCAUGCUUAUGAAAUGAGAAUAUAAAUAGCUUGCUGAUUCAUAACCAUUAUUUAUAUUCUUUUGUAUUUCAUGUACCCUUAUUUAUAUGUGUUCACUGAGAUGAUGAAGGUAUGCCCUUCAUGACCUUCGUCCGGAAACCAUUAUAUCCAAAAGGAGAUAAUGCUUCGAAGGACGAAGGUCUCUAAUUAUUGACAAUCGUGUUGUCUUGUUCUUGAUGUAUAGCAUUUGGGAAUAAGGACCAAUAGCUUGCUUCUUUGCCGAGUGCCAAGGCCACAGCACUCGGCAAAGAGUCUUUACCGGUGCGCAGGUGUGCCUUCUUUGCCGAGUGCUAUGACAUUGACACUCGGCAAAGUAUCUCUUUGUCGAGUGUAACACUCGACAAAGUGACCAGAUUAUCCCUUUUUAUUUGUUUUUGCUAUUCCAUCCAAACAAAUAAAAGAUAUAUCGCAUAAUCAUCACAUAUACAUCAUAGAUAUCACAUAAUCAUCGCAUACAUAAUAGAGACUGCAUAUUUCACAAAAAACACAAAUCUCACAAGUUUUUCUCAAACAUGUCCAUGUUCAUACCAAGAUUCACUAACAUAAGUAUCACACAACUCUAAAACAUAAGUUUUUCACAAACAUAAGUUUAGGACAAGUUUAUCACACAAGCUAAGAGAAGAUCAUGAGCGAGGUGGGCGGCUGGACUGGUGCGGCGACGGGCUGGGCGAUCCACGAGGGUUGUUGGAUGCCGCCCUAGAUUGUCCCUGCACAGAGAAGAGAUUGCCUGUGUUAUACUAGAUAAAUAUACAUCAUGCAGGACUAGAAUUUUGAUACUCAUAGGAGUAUGGAACUGAGCAGGGUCAACUGGAGGGAACAACGGAGGUGGUGGAGCAAAACCCUGUGCGGUGCCAAGGCUCUGCAUGUACUGGAACAUCUCUGCCAUCCUCUGUUGAUUUUCCAUGUGGGCCUCCCGCUCCGCCAUCAUCCUCGCCUCCAUAUCCUACCGUUCCCUCCUCUCUUCUUCUAGCUAGGCAUAUAAUAUUUCAACCCAGUGUUAUAAUAACUCAAAGAGAAGGUAUAUAACUCAAGGAAAGACGAGUUACAGAAGCACUAACCUGGAGUUGUUGUAUCUCAUGAUGUGAGUUGUCCUGUCGAGGUCGUAUGGCUGGGCUUGAGCUCGUGGUCCUUGCUCGCACCUGAGACAGAGUGGGAGUGGACAACGAGUCGAUUGUCCCGUCGGCAAUCCAGUACCUCCCAUGCCUCUUGCCUCCUCUGACCCUCAUGAGAACAUCUCCGUCGAUUUCCUUGGUCCUCGGAUCGUAAUCUGGCCCAUGGACCUCAUGUGACAUGGCAGUGUACUCACUUAGGCGGUUGUAGACGGCGGAGUUGCUAUAUGCCUCGGGCCCGUCAUCCGGGUUGUAGGUGACAUCGGACGUCGCCUUUCCCUUGUGGGCCAUAGCAUAAACCGAGAAGAUGGAGCAUGGCUGGCCACCAUGUAACACCAAAUGCAAUAAAAUCAAUGAGAUAGUUAGAAAUAAUAUCUAAACCAGUGCUAUAUACCUAAAUAAAAAGAGGGCGUACCCAUGCUUCUACAUAUUUCCAGAGGUUGCGACUGCCUUGGUGGUGGGAGGGACCUUACAUCAUCAAAUGUCGUUCCAUGCUAGCGUUGUGCGCCUCGUCCCACUUAGGCGAGCACCACCUAUCCACCAUCUGCUCCUAGCACUGAGGAUGCGCGGCGCACCAAUAAGGAAUCAUCUACAAACUAAAACAAGUACAUUGCAUAUCAGAAGAUAAAAUUAAGCAAUUUUUUUCACGAAUAUUAAAGUGAUGUAUUUACCUGCAAGUAUUGGUCCCUAGUCAACGACAUGGUUCGGGCCUCUUGUUUGGUCACCUUCUCUCUAAGGACGGAGCCAUGGUAGAUGAUGAUGACCUAGAUUCGUGCAUCGUAGUGCAUGUCCACGACGAGCUUCUUACAGCUUGUGGUGGCCACCACAUUUGCCCUGGCCUCGUAUCCAGCCUCGCAUCUGAAGAAAUCCUACAUACAAAGGCGAUAUAUCCAUACAUUAUUUCAAGUAUGUGCAACAAAUGCGACAUAUUUUACAAUAUAGUAAGACUUACUCAUAGCUUUUGCUUCACCCGCUCUGCCAUGUUGUUAAAUUCCCUAUCGUCCUAGUCUACUGCAUCAGGGGUGACGACGUAGUGGUCGAAGGUGUAGGCAGUAGGUUGGGCCCACCACUCCAGCGUACUCAACCAGUCCAGGGAAGUGUUCCCUACACAUAAGGCCAAGGAUGCCAUUGGGUUGUGGUCGUGACUCCCUGCAUUCUCCACAACCUUUCAAGACCUGUCCAAGUGAUAAAUAAAAAGUAUUAGUUUAUAUUAUGAAUUUGAACACAUAAUAUGAACAAACAGUGAGAACAUAAAAUUACAUGUCUCUCCCCAUCCUUCUGAAUCAGCGACCGCCUAUCUCGAAGUAUGGGACGCUGAGGGAGACUCGUGGGACCUCGCUGGUAGACGUUCCUCGAAUCUGAAGCACCAGAACCUGAGGCGUCUUGCUGAGCGUCGUCGUCGUCCUACUGUGUCGCAUCGAUAACGACCUGCUGCUGGACGUCGUCAUCCUGUUGUGCCUUCUUCGCCUUCCUACGGGUGCUCCUCCUCCCCCUCCUUGUCCUCAUCCCACCGCCCACCAUAUUUGUCCAACAACCUGUAAUUAAGGGUAAGCAAAUAAGCACAUAUAAAAAAGUUUAUUUACAAAUAGGCGUGAAAUAAAAAAAAUAGCAUUACAUCGUUUAAAAAAAUCUUCAUAUGUGUCGGGGUUAGCCAGAUCAUAAGUGUCAUCAUCACAAUCAACCAUUUCAUAGUCAACACCAUCUGAAGGCGCAAGUUCUUCAUUAAUGUCAUUGCCUUCAAGUAAUUCUAAGUCAUUCUCAUUUUGCACCUCAUCAACAACCAUUUCAAUAUCUACUUCCAUUCCGAUAGCUUCGGUUAAGUCUAUCUCAAAUCACCCUUCUAGCCCAUAUUCUUGGAAGAACUCUCCAUCAUAUGUAUCCGGGUCUAAGUUAUAAUCUUCAUCAUUUGGAACAGGUAAUUUACCGUGCAGUGAUACCUUAUACACAACAUCCCAACCCAUCCAUGCCUCAUAUAGGAGAUGAAGAAUCAAAUGCUGCAUUGGAUUGAAGAAGUCGAGUGGAAAUAUCUUCUCAAGCUUACACAAAAACACGGGUGUCAAUCUUUCCAAGUCUGCAAUCACGGACCAAGAUAACUCUUUCACACAAAGCUGGCAGAAUAAAUAGCUGAACUUUGUAAGCGCUAGCCAUACAUGCUCAGGGACAUAGCCUCGAACCAUCGUCGGAAGAAUCUGUUCAAUCCAUAAGUGGAAGUCAUGACUCUUCAUCCCUAAGACUCACAGAGUAGAUAAGUUCACCCCCCUACUUAGGUUAGCUGCAUACCCAUCAGGAAACAUCAACAUCUUGAUCCACUAAAGUACUUCCUUCCUCUGGGCCCUACUUAGGACGAAAUCGGCCUUAGACCUUCUCCAUGUCUUUCCACCACUAGGCGGCUUCAUUUCUUGGUUUGGUCUAUCACAUAACGCUGUCAGAUCCACUCUUGUCUUUACAUUAUCCUUUGACUUAUCAGGAAUGUCCAUAAUUGUUGCCCAAAGUGCCUCGGCGACAUUCUUUUCAGUGUACAUCAAGUCAAUGUUGUGUGGAAGGAGUGGGUCAUCAUAAUAGGGGAGCCGAGUCAAGCCCGACUUAUGUGUCCACAUAUGCUGCUCACCAUAUCCCACAAAUACACCUUCUGGAUUGGCCACGAGCCCAUCUAUUUGUUGACGAAUUUCGGCACCAGUCAUCAUUGCAGGUGGUUGGUCUGUCACUACAACACCUUUCGUAAAGUUAUUGAUGUCUAGGCGGAAUGGAUGGUUAGGAGGGAGAAAUUGUUGAUGUUUAUCGAACAACGAAUAUUUGCCACCCUUUUUCAACCAAAUGAACUUAAGAGCUUCCUUACAAACUAGGCAUGGGAACUUACUGUGAACACAAUAGACACAGAAUAGCCCAUACGCCGGUAAGUCAUGCAUGGCGUACUAGUACCAAACAUGCAUUUUGAAGUUUUUCUUCGUAGCUCGGUUAUACGUCCAUACCCCUUCCUCCCAAGCAUGUACGAUUCAUCAAUCAAAGGCUCCAUGUACACGCCCAUUUUAUUCCCCGGGUGUCCGAGAAUUAUCAACGACACAAAUAUGUUCUGCCUUUAAAAGCAUACACCGGGGGGAGAUUGAUUGGGAUAACAAACACGGGCCAACAUGUGUAUGGGGCAGCGCUCAUUCCAUAGGGAUUGAACCCAUCUGUGGCCAGCGCAACACGUACAUUAUGAGCCUCUUCAGCUUUCUCGCGGUAAAUGGCAUCAAAGUGUUUCCAUGCUUCACCAUCGGAUGUGUGCACCAUCUUAUCAUGAUUGUAUCGUUUGCCAUUUUUGUGCCAUGUCAUCUGUUUCGCGGAUUCCUCAGUCAUGUAUAGACGCUGGAUCCUCGGUGUGAACGGAAGGUGGUGUAGGAUUGUCACGGGGAUGUCGAGCUGCCUAUCAUGUCCAUCACCAAAGUCUACCUCCAUGAACCUAGACGAUUUACACUUCGGACAGUACUUUGCUUCCGUGUAUUCUUUCCUAAAUAGCACGCAGUCCUUCGGACAAGCAUGUAUCUGCUCAUAUGUCAUCUUGAGUGCACGGAGGAGUUUCUGUGUGUUGGGGACCUUCGGCAUCCGAAGGUCCUCAAAAACGGGAUUUAACAGUAUUUCUGGAAGUAUAAUGUGUGAGCAGGUACCUUCAGACUCAAGUCGGUAUCACGGCAGGAGAAGACCCGGAUAAUACGAAGGUCUUGAUACAACGCCGAAGAUGUUAGCAGGAAAGCUUCGGCAUGGUUGCAGAAAAUGAAACCGACUUAAAGAUGAAAAGGCUAUUCAGACCUCGAUAGAUUACUAUAGAAUUAUUAUCAAAUGUAAAGGGCAUGAAUGUAAUUUUGUAUGGGCUGUGUCCCGUGCCUAUAAAUAGGUGAACAGAACCCCCGUACUGUUCACGCUGACUUGGCAUUCGCUUUUUGCGUCACGCUUGUACUGUCAUCUCCUUCCGAUUGAAGGUACACUUGUAAUUCAACGAUAUUUCUGUUUAUGUCUGAUAAUAAUAUAUAAUUGUUCAUAUUGUCUUUUAUGUUCUUUACAUUUCAUUCUUCGUCAUUGCUUAAUGAAUUUAUGAAGGUACGUCCUUCAUAACCUUCGUCCGUAAACCAUUAUAUCCUAAGGGAAAUAAUGUUUCGGAGGGCGAAGGACUUUAACGAUUAACAUUUUCUAUGUUGCCUUGUUCUUAACUCAUAGCACUUGAGAACAAGUCCCCAACAUUGGCGCCCACCUCCGGUGAACUCACUUCCACUCUUUGAAGUUUUUUGAACACCUUCGGCGAUCAUAAAUCUUCGUUAUGGCGCCGAAGAAAGCUUCAGCGACUGGGGCUGCAGCUCUGCAACCACUGGACCACAAUCAGGAGACAGUUUCCCUGCGGGAGGCCCGAAGCCAGAAAAGGAAGGCUGUCAGUCCGACACCACCAGAGGACGAGAUAGAUCAAGAAAUCAGAGAUAUGGAGAUGCUUCAUCAACAAGUACAGAGGAAGAAAGAAAAGAUGGCCAGGCUAGCUGAACUGCAGAGGCAGAUAGACGAAGCCUCUGAAGAAGUUCGUCAUCUUGCUCAGGAUGAGCAACACCGAAGGCCUCAGCACCAAGACCUUCAUCAGGAGGGUUUUCCCAACGAAGAUGACUGGUAUGACAAUUUCCAUCAUGGGAAUUUUGUUUUUGAUGAUGCUUCUCCUCUGUCCGCUGAGCUGCAGGCUACACCUUGGCCUCCGUCCUACAAGCCGCCUCAGCUUCCCGUAUUCGAUGGUCACUCAGACCCGAAGCAGUUUUUGAUGAGCUACGAAGCAACAGUAUCUUCGUAUGGUGGCAAUGCUUCAGUCAUGGCCAAAUCUUUCGUUAUGGCUGUCAGAAGUGUUGCUCAAACCUGGUAUUCCUCCCUUCGACCAGGAACGAUCACUUCAUGGCAGAAGCUGAAGGACUUGUUGUUAACUAGCUUUCAAGGAUUUCAGACGAAGCCGGUCACUGCUCAGGCUCUGUUCCAGUGCACCCAGGAUCACGAAGAAUACCUUCAGGCGUAUGUCCGAAGGUUCUUGCGUUUGAGGGCACAGGCACCAACGGUGCCCAAUGAAAUUGUCAUCGAGGCCAUGAUCAAGGGGCUUCGGCCAGGACCGUCAGCUCAGUACUUCGCCAGGAAGCCUCCUCAAACUUUGGAGAAGCUGCUCCAGAAGAUGGACGAGUACAUUCGGGCCGAUAAUGAUUUUCGCCAAAGAAGGGAGGAGGCUUUCAGGUUUUCUGAAAUGACCAGGGGCUUCGGAGGGAGGUUCUACCCGAGGCACGUGAGAUCAAUUCAUAACUCUACACAAAAAUGAUGAUAGAGGAAGCCAACAGCAAAGGCCACAAUGCUCCUCACAGGCUUCGGGGCAACAGCAAAGCUCCUUCCGACCACCAGCUCCAAGAGGCAGAGGCGCCAGGGGCUUUGGAGGAAGAUUUGGAGAUCAACCGAGAAGAAUCUUUUGCUUAUUCUGCGGUGAGAACAAAGGCCAUACUACCAGGAUGUGCCAUGUUACUAUUCAGAAGCAAAAGGAAAUAGCUGAAGCCGCAGCACAACAAGCUCAGCCGAAGCAGGUCAUGCAUACAACUUCGUAUCAUUCGCCCUACAUCCCAGAAUAUGUGGGCAACCAUCCUGCAGUUUCUGUUGCUUCGGCAAGUCAGCCUCAAGCUUCCUGGCAACAGCCUCCGCCUCCACCUCCGUUGCAACAAGGCCAGCAACCAGAAGGGAGCCAGUAUGCUCCACACCAGAGGGACUUCAGAGAGCAGUCCGAAGCUCGUACAGUCAAUAGCACUGUGCCAGAGUCAAAGCACAUCUAUUGACGAAUAUCCUACCUUAAUAGCAAUCUUUUUCAUUCAGUUUUAUUUUCUGUAAUAAAGGACAUUGUUUAGGUUUCAUGUAAUUAGUUUCGUUGAUUCCUACAAGAAAAAUAUGUUUUCCUCACAGGCUUAAAUUGAUUGAAGUUCAAAGACUUGUGAUAAAAAAAAGGACCUUCGAACUAUCGAAAAUUCUUCGAAGCAACAAAAAGUCGUUCUAAGGAACGCAGAGUAAGUUUGCCGAAGUCACAAAAAGUCGUUCCAAAGGGAGCGCAGUGUAAGUUUUCUGCUCCAAAGUCGUUCCAAAGGGAAUGCAGAGCAUACAGCGAAAAGUCAACGCUGAUACCGCCUAAGUAAAAGGCGAAGCGCGAAAAGUCAACGCGAAUACCGCUGAAAGUAAAAGGCGAAGAAGCUCCUAAGGGAGGCUUACAGCGAAAAAUAAACGCUGAUUCCGCUGAAGUAAAAGGCGAAGAAGCUCCUAAGGGAGGCUUAUAAAAGAUGUGUUUUAUUGCAGGGAUGCGUAUGUAUCUUCGGAAUAAACGUCAUCUCACAUAACAUAACAUCAUCGCAUCAUUUCGCAUAGCAUAAGCAUCAUACAUCAUUUUGCACAUGGCACAAGAGGUGGACACAUUAUUAAUCUACAGAAGAACGCUUUGAAAAAAGGGAGAAAUCAAAGUCACAAAAAGAUACAUCAUUGAUCUUCGGAAGUGUAUCUUCGGAAGUGUAGCUUCGGAAAAUAUCUUCACGAAGCCUGGAUAUUAAUCAUCAGAACAUUGGAUAUUGUUGUGACAAAGAAAAAUUCUUCUUCACGAAGCAUGAAAAGAAGGGAAGGUGUUUUUUCGUCAAAGACUCAAAAGUGGUACGUGUAAAGUUUCAUGCAUCGUAAAGAAUUGACUAACAAAAAUAGGUAUAUUACAUUUGGGGUUACAAAAUGUUACAGUAUAUUACAUUUCAGAAAGUUUUCACAAAAAUACUUAAUCUUCUCUCAAAACGACUUCUGCAGCCUCGUUCAGGAGCCGAUUGACGACUUCGUCCAUAAUAUCUUCAGCCAUCUUUUUAAUUUCGUCGUCUCCUUUCGGCUGAGGGCCCGAAGACGCUUUAGCACGAUCUGAAGUAAGACAGCAUGCGGCUACAUUGCUAUUACAAAUCGCAAACAAAUCUUAAAGCCUAAGAUUACAACACGAUAAAAACUAUUAGUUAAUACCUAAUUGACCUUCGGCCUCUGCGCUCUUUUCAGCAGCCUCAGCCACUUCUCUAGCAUCGUGAAUGCCCUUUUCACUUCUUCGAAUAAUUUCUCCGGCCAUUUCUCAGCCACCAUUAUCCCAGAUAUCGGUAAAACAUUUUCCACCAAUUAUACUAGCUUCGGCCGAAGGAUCUCUUGCAUCUUCAAAGGGCAAAGCAGCUUCGGAUUGUGCUAAAAUUUUUACAUGUUCGCAGCCCUUCUUCUCUAAGAUGGUGGCAAUCCCUCUGGCACCAGAGAAGGCACAUAUAUCUCCUCGGCUAUUUAAAAUUUCUUCGAAGGCUUCAGCUUCGUGGUCGAUCCAUUCGAUGACACCUUCGGGAUUGCUUCUCGAAAAGUUUUCCUCACUUGAGAAUGCGCCGACCUUGGCGAAGCUAGCCUUUAGCUUCUUAACACAAUCUAUAGAUUUAUUAUAGCAUCUCUUUUUGGACGAACGAAGCUCUUCAACAGUCACUUCUAGGUGAUCUGCCCAUUGAUCGCUGAGUUCACGCUUUGUUUCUUCAAGUAUGCGUUCUUCCUUGGCUCUGGCCAGUUGUUUCCGAAGAUCUUCAAUUUCGCGCUUCUGAGCUUCAGCUUGACCUUUAAAAGCAGCUUCGUCUUCCUUUAUUUUAUUUAUCAAUGAGUAUAAUAUUUUAUCUUUUUCGAGACCUUCGUUCCUCAGUUCAAUUACUUCGGAACGAAGGUUGCUCAGGGCUAUAGUACACCCUUCGUCUUCAGCAUCUUUCUGUGCCCUGAGGGCAUUGCUAAGUAUCAGGCCCUGCAAAGAGAAAUAUGUGUGCGUCAAUAGGUUUAAACAAACGAAAAAUACAAGGAUUUCAUUUCUCGCACCUUUAAGCUAUUGUAAGCCAGGCUGUCGGCCAGAUCGUUCUUCGACAGCACCGAGAGCCCGUCUUCUAAAGUUGGGAAUCCGAAGCUCUUGCUCAUCUCCCGACAGACAGAAAUUUCCUUGCUAUCGGGGAGACAAUACAAGAAGUCUUCUUCUCCACUGCCAUUGAAUAUUAACGCCCCCUUUGGAUAUUUCAGUUUUUGGGCGUAGUGCUGGGCCUCUUGCUCUUCUUUUUCUGAUAGUUUUUUCCCCGAAGCAUGGCGAACAAUAUAAUCACGAACUUUGGGGGAUGCUUCGGGGGCAAUGGCACCGGUUUCUUCAACAAAAGUUGGCUUUGUUAUUUUUUCUGCCUCACUUUCCAAGGAUUUUAUCUUUGCAGGCUCUGAGGGCCCAGCUUCGGCUUUAGUCUCUUGCCCUGAAGCUUUAGAUCCAGAAAUUUCAGUUGUUUCAGGAAUGACAGCAGCCCUCUUCGGAGGUGUGCUUGAAGAUUUGAUCGUUUCCAGUACAUCUAGCACAUUAGCCAUUCUCUUUCUUUUCGGAGUCACUGCUGGCACUUUCACUAUCUCAAUGUUUGCUGCAGGACUCAAAACUUCUGAUGUUUUGGAUCCCUCAGUUGAUUCUUUUACCUUUUCCAUUUUUUCUGUGGACGGCGCUUCGGCUUUCUCUUUCGUUUCUGAUAACAAAAUUUUUGAUUGUUCCAAUUCUAUCUUUGUUGGCACUUCGGCCGUUUCUGCGACUUCUGGCAGCAAGGUUGGCUCGGUUGGUUUUUCAGCUUCGGUGGCCGAAGAAGUUUCUCCGGUAAACUCAGGCACCGAAGCUGGUUCAAUAUAGCGCGGCCGAUGCGUAAGGACCUUUAUCUUCUUUCUUUUCGGUUCUGGCUCGCUAGGAGCAGUUGCAGCUUCUUCUUUUGCAGAGGUUGUGUUUUUUCUCUUCUGCCUUCGAAUGGGAUAGCAAUAGUCAGGGUAGACAAACCCGAUUGCAUCAAAUACCCGAUUCAGCCUCUUCUUUUUUCGGCCUCCGAAGGCUGCUGACAUUGCAGUAUCUUCGGCCUUCGAAUAGGUCCCAAGCAGCUCAUCACUUAAAUUUUCAAUGCUUUUUAACCAGUCAUCAUCUGGUUCAACGAAUUUAUCUCCAAACUUAAAAGUGUACUUCAACCUGAUAAGUCCACCUUCGUCGGCCUCUUUUAUGGUUUCUUGUGGCAUUUCCCAUUUCUCCGCAAGUGGCCAUACCCUGAAGGCGAUAUGCUCUUGUACUAAGUCCCUCGUUCCAAUAAAAGAACAGAUAACACCGAAGGCCCUCUGGCAUUCUUCGGCAGCCUCACUCAUUUCAACCUUCGGCCUCCGAAGGCCGAAGCUUUGCCAAAUAGGGCGCAUAAUUAUACCUUUGAUAUCUUCUCGCGCUGUCAGAUCAUUCUUCACAUAAAACCAUUCUGUCAUCCAGUCGCCGGGCCAUCUCUUCCGAAAGGUCGGCACGGGACAGCUUGACCCGGACCGAGAAACGAAAUUGUAGCAGCCAAAAUUAUUGUGAUACUGUUCCUUACCCCAAGGUUUUGUUUCGUAUGAUAAUUCGUGUAUAUUGCAGAAACUUUUUGCAUCAGGCUUCAGACCUUGGCUUCUCACGGCCCACACGAAGAUAUUUAGCCUUAUAAUUGCCUCAGGGGUAAGUUGAUGGAGAUAGACUUCGAAUAUUUUCAGUACCUCCACAACGAAGCUGCUCAAGGGAAAUCGCAGUCCAGCUUUCAAAAAGCUUCGGUACACUACGACUUCAUUCUCUUCAGGGUGUGGGCAAGUUUUUUCCCCUUCGUCGGCCCUCACAAUGGACAAAUCCCGGAAAUACCUUCCUCUCAUGUUGACAAGAUGAUUCUCUUUGAUAGUUGAUUUACCAUAAACUGAAUGGCUUGGUCGCCAGGGACGAUCUUCGGAGUCCUCACCACCACUGUCCACAUCAUAGCUGUCACUGUCACCAGUAUCUUCAGACAAACCUUCCAGAAUCUCCUUGGUAAUUUUUUCUGUAUUGGUCUUUGACAUCGCUAUAAGAAACCCCAAGUUUUUCUCUUCGUCAAGGCUCAGCUUCAUCUCAGCAACAGUCUUCUUAUCUUCAGACAUCUUCGGAGACGCUAAAAAACUAUUUUCAAAGCCGAAGCUUCAAAACUAAAAGCUUAGCAAAUCGCAGUGCACAAGAGCUAAAAAUUGAGUGAGCGGGAGUAGUUGGCCAGAAAGCGUGUCAAAUGAGUUUGCGGUAUGGCCGUAUUUAUACGCCAAGAGCGUUGAAAAUUCAAAGACCCCGCUUGUCAGUGAAUGUUGCUAUUCUAGCAAAGGGAAGGUGUUUUUUCGGACCUUCGGCGUAAAGCCUUCGUCCAUGUCGCAAUCUAAAUUCGUUAUUUUAAAACAAAUUAAUAUUGCGAGGGGCUACUGUUGGGGACCUUCGGCAUCCGAAGGUCCUCAAAAACGGGAUUUAACAGUAUUUCUGGAAGUAUAAUGUGUGAGCAGGUACCUUCGGACUCAAGUCGGUAUCACGGCAGGAGAAGACCCGGAUAAUACGAAGGUCUUGAUACAACGCCGAAGAUGUUAGCAGGAAAGCUUCGGCAUGGUUGCAGAAAAUAAAACCGACUUAAAGAUGAAAAGGCUAUUCAGACCUCGAUAGAUUAUAUAGAAUUAUUAUCAAAUGUAAAGGGCAUGAAUGUAAUUUUGUAUGGGCUGUGUCCCGUGCCUAUAAAUAGGUGAACAGAACCCCCGUACUGUUCACGCUGACUUGGCAUUCGCUUUUUGCGUCACGCUUGUACUGUCAUCUCCUUCCGAUUGAAGGUACACUUGUAAUUCAACGAUAUUUCUAUUUAUGUCUGAUAAUAAUAUAUAAUUGUUCAUAUUGUCUUUUAUAUUCUUUACAUUUCAUUCUUCGUCAUUGCUUAAUGAAUUUAUGAAGGUACGUCCUUCAUAACCUUCGUCCGUAAACCAUUAUAUCCUAAGGGAAAUAAUGUUUCGGAGGGCGAAGGACUUUAACGAUUAACAUUUUCUAUGUUGCCUUGUUCUUAACUCAUAGCACUUGAGAACAAGUCCCCAACACUGUGCCUCAUACAUGCUCUUUGGUAGAACGUGAUCCUCCGGAAGCAGGCUACCAAUAACUGUCAACAAGCAAUCGAAUGCGUCUUGACUCAUGUUAUACUGCGACUUGAACGCUAUUACAUGCCCAAUGGCAUCCAGUUGAGAAACCUUUGUCUGGCUGUGAAGGGGCUUCUGUGCCACGUCAAACAUGUCGUAGAACGCCUUUGCAAUCGGCUCUAGCUCGUCCUCCAUACAUCCUCCGACGAACUAUGCCUCAUGAUAGUCGUUCAACAUAUCUGCUACCCCCGCAUCAGCAUCAUAAUCCUCGACGUGUUGUCUCUGAAAGGGAAAUAAGCUUACACCUUUUCCUAAAUGAUUUUGGUGGUUGAAUUGCCCAACACAAAUAAUUGGACUAACUAGUUUGCUCUAGGUUAUAAGUUCUAUAGGUGCCAAAGGUUCAACACAUACCAAUAAAAAGUCCAAGAAAGGGUUCAAAUAAAAAGAGCAAAAGACAACCGAAGGCUGCCCUGGUCUGGCGCACUGGACUGUCCGAUGUGCCACCGGACAGUGUCCGGUGCACCAGAGAGAUUCACUCCAAACUUGCCACCUUCGGGAAUUUGGGAAGCCACUCCGCUAUAAUUCACCGGACUGUCCGGUGUGCCAAGCGGAGCAACGGUCGCCAACGCAAUGGUCGAGUUCAACGGUCGGCUGACAACGCUACAGUGCGCGGACUACGCGCGUAGAAGUCAGAGAAGGCGCAGAUGGCGCACCGGACAGUGAAGAGGACCUGUCUGGUGCACCAUCGGACUGUCCGGUGGCCCACAUGUCAGAAACUCCAACGGUCGAACCCUAACGGUUGGGUGACGUGGCUGGCGCACCGGACAGUGUCCGGUGGCGCACCGGACUGUCCGGUGCGCCCAUCGACAGCAGAGUUCCCCAACGACCACUUUGGUGGUUGGGGCUAUAAAUACCCCCCAACCACCACACUUCGAUGCAUCCAAGUUUUCAGCCAUCAAACCUCAUACAAGAGCUCUAGACUUCAUUCCAAGACACAAACAAAGAGAUCAAAUCCUCUCCCAAGUCUGGAAUCACUCCAAACAAAUUAGUGACUAGAGAGAGAGAGACUUUUGUGUUCUUUUAAGCUCUUGUGCUUGGAUCGCUUUUCUUCUUCCUCCUUUCUUGUUCUCAACUCAAUUGUAAUCAAAGCAAGAGACACCAAGUUGUGGUGGUCCUUGUAGUGGACUAAGUGUCCCGUUUGAUUGAAGAGAAAAGCUCACUCGGUCUAGGUGACCGUUUGAGAGAGGGAAAGGGUUGAAAGAGACCCGAUCUUUGUGACCACCUCAACGGGGAGUAGGUUUGCAAGAACCGAACCUCGGUAAAACAAAUCACCGUGUUCAUCUGUUUUAUUUCUUUGUUGAUUUGUUUUCCCUUUCUUUCGGACUUGAUUAUAUUUCUAACGCUAACCCUUGCUUGUAGUUGUGCUUAAACUUUAUAAAUUUCAGAUUUGCCUAUUCACCCCCCUCUAGGCGACUUUCAAUUGGUAUCAGAGCCCGGUACUUCAUUAGAGCCUAACCACUCGAUGUCAUGUCGGGAGCUCACGCCAAGAAGGAGAUGGUGACCGGCGAGAAGCCCGCCACAAGCCACGGGAAGGCUCCAUCGGGAGAGUCCGGCAACAAAAGGGAGGAAUCACCUCCCCACGUCAAGUCGCACCGGAGUGGUGACCAGAAGAAGAAAAUGAAGAAAGUGUUCUACUGUGAGACCGAUUCUUCGUCGCCAUCCACCUCCACGUCCGACGCGCCGUCCGUCACUUCUAAGCGCCAUGAGCGCAAGAAGUUUAGUAAGAUCUCCUUACGCUAUCCUCGUAUUUCCAAAUGCACUCCUUUACUUUCCGUCCCACUAGGCAAACCACCGGUUUUUGACGGUGAACAUUAUUGUAUGUGGAGUGAUAAAAUGAGGCACCAUCUAACCUCACUCCACGCUAGUAUUUGGGACAUUGUUGAGUUUGGUGCGCAGGAACCAUCCGUGGGGGAUGAAGGCUAUGAUUCGGAUGAGGUAGCCCAAAUCCAGCACUUCAACUCCCAAGCCACCACUAUACUCCUCGCCUCUCUAAGUCGAGAGGAGUAUAAUAAGGUGCAAGGGUUGAAGAGCGCCAAAGAGAUUUGGGACGUACUAAAGACCACACACGAAGGAGACGAGGUGACCAAGAUCACCAAGAGCGAAACGAUCGAGGGGGAGCUCGGUCGCUUCAUGCUUCAUCAAGGGGAGGAGCCACAAGCAAUGUACAACCGGCUCUAGACCUUGGUGAACCAAGUGCGCAACCUCAGGAGCACCAAAUGGGAUGACCAUGAAAUGGUCAAGGUUAUUCUAAGAUCACUUAUAUUUCUUAAUCCUACACAAGUUCAAUUAAUUCGUGGUGAUCCUAGAUACAAGAUAAUGUCUCCCGAGGAGGUUAUAGGAAAAUUUGUGAGCUUUGAAUUGAUGAUCAAAGGCUCCAAGAAAAUCAUCGAGCAAGGCGCCUCCUCCACACCCGAAAUGCAACUCGUCGCAUUCAAGGCAACAGAGGAGAAGAAAGAAGAGUCUACUUCAAGUAGACUUCCCAUCGACGCCUCCAAGCUCGACAACGAGGAAAUGGCGCUCAUCAUCAGGAGCUUUCGCCAAAUCCUCAAGCAAAGGAGGGGGAAGGACUACAAGCCCCGCUCCAAGAAAGUUUGCUACAAGUGUGGUAAGCCCGGACAUUUCAUUGCUAAAUGUCCAUUAUCAAGUGAUAGUGACAGGGGCGAUGACAAGAAGGGGAGAAGGAAGGAGAAGAAGAAAUAUUACAAGAAGAAGGGCGGCGAUGCCCAUGUAUGCCACGAGUGGGACUCCGAUGAGAGCUCCACCGACUCCUCCUCCGACGAGAACGCCGCAAACAUCGCCAUCAACAAGGGUCUUCUCCUUCCCAACGUCGAUCACAAGUGCCUCAUGGCAAAGGACGACAAAAAGAAGAAGGUAAAAUCUAGAGCUUCCACUAAAUAUGCAACAUCUAGUGAUGAGGCUAGCUCUAGUGAUGAUGAGGAUGAUUUGAUCACCCUUUUUGCCAACUUAAACAUUCAACAAAAAGACAAAUUGAAUGAAUCGAUUAGUGUUAUUCAUGAGAAGGAUGAACUCUUGGAUAGCCAAGAGGACUUCCUUAUUAAAGAAAAUAAGAAGCAUGUUAAAGUUAAAAAUGCUUAUGCUCAGGAGAUAGAAAAAUGUGAAAAAUUAACUAGUGAUCUAAGCACUUGCCAUGACACUAUUUUCAACCUUAGAUUUGAAAAUGACAAAUUGAUUGCUAAGGUUGAGAAAUUAAAUGUUAGUGAUGAUUCUCUUGUCAACCUUAGAAAUGAUAAUGCUAAUUUGAUUGCUAAGGUUGACAAAUUGAAUGCAUCUCUCUCUAGCCUUAAAAUUGAGAAUGAAAAAUUAAUUGCUAAGGCUAAAGAUUUAAAUGUUUGCAAUGUUUCUAUUUCCAAUCUUAGAGAUGAGAACACUAUUUUACAUGCUAAGAUUGUUGAAUUAAAUACUUGCAAACCCUCAACAUCUACCGUUGAACAUGUUACUAUUUGCACUAGAUGUAGAGAUGUUAAUAUUGAUGCUAUUCAUGAUCACAUUGCUAUGAUUAAACAACAAAAUGAUCAUAUAGCAAAAUUAGAUGCUAAAAUUGCCGAGCAUGAAUUAGAGAAUGAAAAAUUUAAAUUUGCUCGUAAUAUGCUUUAUGGUGGGAGACGCCCUGGCAUUAAGGAUGGCAUUGGCUUCCAACAGGGAGGCGAUGUCAAACUCAAUGCCCCUAAGAAAUUGUCCAACUUUGUUAAGGGCAAGGCUCCCAUGGUUUAGGAUAACGAGGGUUACAUUUUAUACCCUGACGGUUAUCCCGAACAUAAAAUUAGGAGAAUUCACUCUAGGAAGUCUCACUCUGGCUCUCAUCAUGCUUUUAUGAAUAAGAGUGAGGCAUCUAGUUCUAGGAAAUCCACCCAUGCUAAAUUGCCUAAGAAGAAAACUCCUAUAGCAUCAAACGAACCUAAUUUUUCAUUUAAGACUUUUGAUGCUUCUUAUGUGCUCACUAACAAAUCAGGCAAAAUAGUUGCCAAAUAUGUUGGGGCUAAACACAAGGGAUCAAAGACUUGUGUUUGGGUACCCAAGGUGCUUGUUUCUAAUGUGAAAGGACCCAAGACCAUUUGGGUACCUAAGAACAAGGCCUAAACUUGUUUUGUAGGUUUAUGCAUGCGGGGGCUCAAGUUUGAUCAUCGAUAGCGGGUGCACAAACCACAUGACUGGGGAGAAAAUAAUGUUCUCCUCCUAUGAGAAAAAUCAUGAUCCCCAAAGAGCUAUCACAUUCGGGGAUGGAAAUCAAGGUUUGGUCAAAGGACUUGGUAAAAUUGCUAUAUCCCCUGACCAUUCUAUUUCCAAUGUUUUUCUUGUAGAUUCUUUAGAUUACAACUUGCUUUCUGUUUCUCAAUUAUGCAAAAUGGGUUACAACUGUCUUUUUACGGAUAUAGGUGUUACUGUCUUUAGAAGAAGUGAUGAUUCUGUAGCAUUUAAGGGAGUGUUAGAGGGUUAGCUAUACUUAGUUGAUUUUAAUAGAGCUGAACUCGACACUUGCUUAAUUGCUAAGACUAACAUGGGUUGGCUCUGGCAUCGCCGACUUGCCCACGUUUAAAUGAAGAAUCUCCACAAACUUCUAAAGGGAGAACACAUUUUGGGACUAACAAAUGUUCAUUUUGAGAAAGACAGGGUUUGUAGCGCAUGUCAAGCAGGGGAAGCAAGUUGGUGUUCAUCAUCCACACAAGAACAUAAUGACGACCGACAGACCGCUUGAGCUACUCCACAUGGACCUAUUCGGCCCGAUAGCUUAUAUAAGCAUCAACGGGAGUAAGUAUUGUCUUGUAAUUGUGGAUGAUUAUUCUCGCUUCACUUGGGUGUUAUUUUUGCAGGAAAAAUCUCAAACCCAAGAGACCUUAAAGGGAUUCUUGAGAUGGGCUCAAAAUGAGUUCGGCUUAAGGAUCAAAAAGAUAAGAAGCGACAACGGGACGGAGUUCAAGAACUCUCAAAUAGAAGGCUUCCUUGAGGAUGAGGGCAUCAAGCAUGAGUUCUCUUCUCCCUACACACCACAACAAAAUGGUGUAGUGGAGAGGAAGAAUAGAACUCUACUUGACAUGGCGAGGACCAUGCUUGAUGAGUACAAGACUUCGGACCGGUUUUGGGCGGAAGCAGUCAACACCGCUUGCUACGCCAUCAACCGUCUCUACCUUUGCCGAAUACUCAAGAAGACAUCGUAUGAACUACUCACCGGUAAAAAGCCCAAUGUUUCAUAUUUUAGAGUCUUUGGUAGCAAAUGCUUUAUUCUUGUUAAAAGAGGUAGAAAAUCUAAAUUUGCUCCUAAGGCUGUAGAAGGCUUUUUACUUGGUUAUGAUUCAAACACAAGGGCAUAUAGAGUCUUUAACAAGUCCUCUGGACUAGUUGAGGUUACUUGUGACAUUGUGUUUGAUGAGACUAACGGCUCUCAAGUAGAGCAAGUUGAUCUUGAUGAGCUAGAUGAUGAAGAGGCUCCAUGCGUCGCGCUAAGGAACAUGUCCAUUGGGGAUGUGUGUCCUAAGGAAUCCGAAGAGCCUCCACAAGCACAAGAUCAACCAUCUUCCUCCAUGCAAGCAUCUCCACCAACUCAAGAUGAGGAUCAAGCUCAAGAGGAUGAAAAUGAAGAUCAAGAAGAUGAGCCACCUCAAGAGGAGGGCAAUGAUCAAGGGGGAGAUGCCAAUGAUCAAGACAAGGAAGAUGACGACAGUCCAAGACCACCACACCCAAGAGUCCACCAAGCAAUACAAAGAGAUCACCCCGUGAACUCCAUCCUCGGCGAUAUUCAUAAGGGGGUAACCACUCGAUCUCGUGUUGCUCAUUUUUGUGAACAUUACACCUUUGUAUCUUCUAUUGAGCCAUAUAGGGUGGAAGACACAUUAAGGGAUUCAGAUUGGGUGUUGGCGAUGCAAGAGGAACUCAACAACUUCACGAGGAAUGAGGUAUGACAUUUAGUUCCACGCCCUAAUCAAAAUGUUGUAGGAACCAAGUGGGUCUUCCGCAACAAGCAAGAUGAGCAUGGUGUGGUGACAAGGAACAAAGCCCGACUUGUGGCCAAGGGAUAAUCACAAGUCGAAGGUUUGGAUUUCGGUGAAACCUAUGCACCCGUAGCUAGGCUUGAGUCAAUUUGUAUAUUACUUGCCUAUGCUACUUACCAUGGCUUCAAGCUUUAUCAAAUGGACGUGAAAAGUGCCUUCCUCAAUGGACCAAUCAAGGAAGAAGUCUAUGUUGAGCAACCUCCCGACUUUGAAGAUAGUGAGUACCCUAACCAUGUGUAUAAACUCUCUAAGGCGCUUUAUGGGCUCAAGCAAGCCCCAAGAUCAUGGUAUGAAUGCCUAAGAGAUUUUCUUAUCGCUAAUGGCUUCAAAGUCGGAAAAGCCGAUCCUACUCUCUUUACUAAAACAAUUGCAAAUGAUUUGUUUGUAUGCCAAAUUUAUGUUGAUGAUAUUAUAUUUGGGUCUACUAACAAAUCUACAUUUGAAGAGUUUAGUAGAUAAUGGUACAAAAAUUCGAGAUGUCUAUGAUGGGGGAGUUGAAGUAUUUCUUAGGAUUUCAAGUGAAGCAACUCCAAGAGGGCAUCUUCAUCAGUCAAACGAAGUACAUUCAAGACAUACUCACCAAGUUUGGGAUGAAGGAUGCCAAGCCUAUCAAGACACCCAUGGGAACCAAUGGGCAUCUUGACCUCGACACGAGAGGUAAAUCCAUAGAUCAAAAGGUAUACCGGUCGAUGAUAGGAUCUUUACUCUAUUUAUGUGCAUCUCGACCGGAUAUUAUGCUUUUCAUAUGCAUGUGUGCAAGAUUCCAAGCCGAUCCUAAGGAAGUUCACCUUAGGGUCGUGAAAUGAAUCUUGAGAUAUUUAGUUCAUACUCCUAAGUUUGGCCUUUGGUACCCCAGGGGAUCCACAUUUGAUUUAAUAGGAUAUUUAGAUGCUGAUUGGGCAGGGUGUAAAAUUGAUAGAAAGAGCACAUCAGGGACUUGUUAGUUCUUGGGAAGAUCCCUGGUGUCAUAGGCUUCAAAGAAGCAAAAUUUUGUAUCUCUUUCUACCACCGAAGCCGAGUACAUUACCGCAGGCCAUUGUUGCGCGCAAUUGCUUUGGAUGAGGCAAACCCUUAGGGACUAUGGUUACAAAUUAACCAAAGUUCCGCUCCUAUGUGAUAAUGAGAGUGCAAUCCACAUGGUGGAUAAUCCCGUUGAGCACAACCGCACUAAGCACAUAGCCAUUCGGUAUCACUUUUUGAGGGAUCACCAACAAAAGGGGGAUAUCGAGAUUGUUUAUAUUAACACCAAAGAACAAUUAGCCGAUAUCUUUACCAAUGUUGGGGACUUGUUCUCAAAUGCUAUGAGUUAAGAACAAGGCAACACAAGAAAUGUUAAACGUUAAUGCCCUUCGUCCUUCGAGACAUUAUUUCCCUUAGGAUAUAAUGAUCUUCAGACGAAGGUCAUGAAGGACAUACCUUCAUCAUUGCAAUAUACGAUAAUAAAAGGAGAAUCAUAUAGAAUGUAAGAGACAACAUGAAUAAGUAUGUAAUAUUAUCAGCACAUUUCUAUUUUAUUAUCAUGGACAAAUAGAAAUGAUAUCAAAUUACAAAUGUACCUUCAGCUUGAUGGAAGGUAAAAGUACAAGUGUGACGCACGAUCAAAUACAAGUCAGCGUGAACAGUACGGGAGCACUGUUCAUCUAUUUAUAGGCACGGGACACAGCCCAUGUAAAAUUACACCCAUGCCUUUUACAUUUGCUAAUGACUCUAUAGUGAUCCAUCGAGGUCUAAAUGACCUUUUCCCUUUUAAGUCGGUUCCCUUUUCCGCUGUUAUGCCAAAGCUCCCUUGCGCGUAGCUUCGGCGCUACGUCAACCUUCGUAUUCUUUGUGCUUCUCACACUGUGGUUCUGAUCCGAGUCCGAAGGUACCUGUUCAUGUAUCAUACUCCAGAAAUAAUGUUAAAUCAUGUUUUUGAAGACCUUCGGAAGACGAAGGCCCCCAACAGUAGCCCCUCGCAAUAUUAAUUUGUUAGAAUAACGAAUUCAAAUUGCGAUAUGGACGAAGGCCUUAAGCCAAAAUUCUGAAAAAACACCUUCCCUUUGCUAGAAUAGCAACAGUCGAUGACAGACGGGGCCCUCCAAUUUGGAACGCACUGGGCGUAUAAAUAGGAACUCACCCCGAGCACAUUUGGUACGCUAUCUGCCGCCUGCUUUGCUUGCUCAAUUUUUUAGCUCUUGCCUACCAACGCUUGCUUGGUUUUUUAGACUUUCUAAGCUUCGGCUUUAAGGACACAUUUUCGCCAUUUCCGAAGAGAAGAUGUCUCAAGACAAAAAAGUUGUUGCUGAGACGAAGCUGAGCGAAGAGGAGAAGCUCCAUGAGGAGAAGACUGCUGGAUUUGUUGAAUCAAUAGCAAAGAAAAAUACAGAAAAGAUUACUAAGGAGAUUCUAGAAGGCUUAUCUGAAGAUACUGAUGACAGCGACAGUUAUGAUGCGGAAAGCGGAGGCGAAGACUCCGAAGAUCGGCCCUGGCGACCAAGCAUGCAGUCUUCGGGAAAUCAACCAUCAAACAGAGUCAUCUUGAUAAUAUGAGAGGAAGGUAUUUUCGAUAUUAUUUUUUUGUUCUUAUAUUAACCCAUUCAUUCUUUUCAUAUAGGGUUUAAUACUUAGCAACGCCUUAAGGGCGCAAAAGAAUGUCGAAGACGAGAGUUGCACUAUUGCUCUCAACAACCUUCAAACAGAGGUUAUCAAGCUGAGGAACGAAGCUUUGGAAAAAGAAAAAAUUCUACUUACAUUGGUGGACAAAGUAAAGGGGGAUGAAGCUAACUUCAAGGCUCAAUCUGAAAUCCAAAGGAAUGAGAUUGAAAACCUUCAAAAACAACUGGCCGAAGCCAAAUUGAAAUGCGCUAUUGCCGAAGCUGACCGAGUUGCCAGUGAGUACUAGAAAAAUUAUCUUGAAAAACAGUUGCAGAGCUUCGCUCAUCAAAAGAAAGAUGUUUUGAAAAAUCUGUGGAAUGCGUGAAAAAGAUAAAAACUAGCUUUGCCAACGUUGGCGCAUAUUCAAGCGAAGAUAACUUCAUACGGGGCGACCCCGAAGGCGUAAUCGAGUGGAUCAGCGGUGAGGCCGAAGCCUUUGAAGAGAUUUUGAGUGACCGCGGGGACGUCUGUGCCUUCUCUGGUGCGAGAGGAAUUGCAGCUAUUUUGGAGAAAGCAGGGUGCGAACAUGUUAAAACUUUGGCCCAGGCCGAAGCUGCCUUCUCCACCGAUGAUAUAAAGGACCCCUCGGCCGAAGCAAACUCAAUAGGUGGAAAAAAUUUCACUGAUAUCUGGGAAAACGGUGGCCGAGGGAUGGCCCAUGAAAUUAUAAAGAAAAACGAAAAAGAUAUUCACGACACUCGAGAGUCAAUAAAAGAAGCUGAAAAGGCUGCGGAGCUUGAGAGACGAAUAUGUAUUACUUAAUGGUUUUUAACUUUGUUGUUUAUUUUUGUGACUUUGAACUGAUUUAUGUUUUCUACCUUAGCUGAACUAUCUCCUCCCCCAGCGCCCUUAGAGUCAUUGGCCGACCCAGAGGCAAAGGAAUCAACAGAACUUAUUAACAUGGCCGAAACUAUUGUAGACGAAGUCGUUACCCAACUGCUGACCGAAUUUGCACAUAAAGUUUUGAAGGAAGAAGAGUAGCUAUUGUAAAAACAUUGCUAGAAUAUUAAUGUAACAUUUGCCGGACUAUGCUUGUAAUAUUUGGUGCUCCUAGGUUUUGAAUGUAAUAUAUGAAUGGUUUUGUAAUUCAUUUCUUUGCGAUGCAUGAAACUUUUAUGUACAUACCGUUUUUGAGCCUUCGGCGAAAAAACACCUUCCCUUCUUUUCAUGUUCGUAAAGAAGAGCUUUUAUGCUUCGUAAAAAAUCCUCCAAUCGUCGCAAAAACAUUAAUGCUUCGUCAACAACAGAUUUUUCCUCCACAUCAGAGCUGAUGAAGCUGUAUUUCUUCAAAACUUAUUUUGUGCCUUAGCACAAUUUCACUUUUUUCGAAGCAUUCUUCGAAGGUCAACAUUGUAUCCCCUUCUUGUGCCAUUGAUGCAAUAUGAUGUAUGAUGUUAUGUUAUGUGAAAUGAUGUGAUGAUGUUAUGUUAUGCAAAAUGAUGUUUAUGCCGAAGACACACACUCACACCCCCAUAGUGGAAUACACAAUCUCUUUGCCGCUUAUUUUUCGGCUUCACCGCUUAUUUUUCGGUGUAUCAGCGCUGACUUUUCACUGUAAGUUCUGCAUUCCCUUAGGAACGUCUUUUGAACUUCUUCACCUUCUAUUUCGGCGGUAUUCGCGUUGACUUUUCGCGCUUCGCCUUAUAUUUCGGCGGUAUUUGGCUCUGCAUUCCCUUUGGAAUGACUUUUGAGCAGAAAACUUACACUGCGCUCCCUUAGGAACGACUUUUUGUAGCUUCGGCAAACUUACGCUGCGUUCCUUAGAACGACUUUUUUGUGGCUUCGGUGAUACUUGUAAUGUGAUUUUUAGCCCCGCGUUCCCUUAGGAACGACUUUUGUGCUUCAGUGACUUUUUGAACUUCGUGAGUCUGUGGAGAAGAUAUAUUUCACUAUGGCAAGAACGAAGUUAUUACAAGAAAUCAAGAGAGCUAGGUUUUCAAUAAUUGUUCCUUAUUAAAAAGGAAGUGAUAAUGAAUGUAAAAACUGCUUCAGGGGUAGGAUAUCUCUCAAUAGAUAUGCUUCGAUUCUAGCACAGUACUGUUGGCUGUGCGAGCUUCGGACUCCUCCCUGAAAUCUCGUUGCUGAUGGGUCUGUUGGCUCCCUUCUGGCUGCUGGCCUCGUGAAUAUGCAGGUUGUAGUGGUGGCAGAGGUGGAGGCUGUGGCCAAGAUGCAUGUGGCUGGCUAGCCGAAGCAACAGAAGCUGCAGGAUGGUUACCCACAUACUCUGGUAUGUAGGGUGAGUGAUACGAAGCAGUGUGCAUGACCUGCUUCGGCUGGUUCUGCUGAGCUGCGGCUUCUGCUAAUUCCUUUUGUUUCUGAAUGGUGACAUGGCACAUCCUUGUAGUAUGGCCCUUGUCCUCACCACAGAAUAAGCAAUUUUCCUAGGUUGAUCCCCAAACCUUCCUCCGAAGCCCCUGGCACCUCUGCCUCUUGGAGUUGGCGGCCGAAAAUAGGUUUGUUGCUGCCCCGAAACUUGCGAGGAAUAUUGUGGCUUCUGUUGCUGACUUCCUCUGUCGUCAUUCUGGGUGGAGUGGAUUGAUCUGACAUGCCUUGGGUGGAUUCUUCCUCCGAAGCCCCUGGUCAUCUCAGAGAACCUGUAGGCUUCCUCCCUUCUUUGGCGAAAGUCAUUGUCAGCCCGGAUGUAUUCAUCCAUCUUUUGAAGCAGCUUCUCCAAAGUCUGUGGAGGCUUUCUAGCAAAAUACUGGGCAGUAGGUCCUGGAUGAAGCCCCUUGAUCAUGGCCUCAAUGACAAUUUCAUUGGGCACAGUAGGCACUUGUGCUCUCAGACGCAAGAACCUUCAGACGUAUGCCUGGAGAUACUCCUCAUGAUCUUGCGUGCAUUGAAACAGAGCCUGAGCUGUGACUGGCUUCGUCUGAAAGCCCUGGAAACUUGUCACCAGCAUGUCCUUGAGCUUCUGCCAUGAAGUGAUGGUCCCUGGCCGAAGAGAAGAAUACCACGUUUGAGCCACAUUCUUAACUGCCAUGACGAAGGACUUGGCCAUGACAGCUGCAUUGCCUCCGUAUGAAGAUAUAGUUGCUUCAUAACUCAUCAAAAACUGCUUCGGGUCUGAAUGCCCAUCAUACAUUGGAAGCUGAGGUGGCUUGUAUGAUGGGGGCCACGGGAUAGCCUGCAGUUCUGCUGCCAAGGGAGAAGCAUCAUCAAAAGUAAAGGUAUCAUGAUUAAAAUCAUCAUACCAUCCAUCGUCGUUGAACAAGCCCUCUUGAUGAAGCUCCCUGUGUUGGGGCCUUCGAUCUUGCUCGUCUUGAGCAAGGUGGCGUACUUCUUCAGUGGCUUCGUCAAUCUGCCUUUGAAGGUCAGCUUGUCGGGCCAUCUUCUCCUUCUUCUUUUGCACUUGCUGAUGAAGCAUCUCCAUGUUUCUGAUUUCUUGGUCCAACUCGUCCACCUGGGGUGUUGGACUAGUGGCCUUCCUCUUCUGGCUUCGGGCCUCUCGAAGAGAAAGGGUCUCCUGAUUUGGGUCCAGUGGCUGCAGAGCGGCAGCCCCUAGCGCUGAAACUUUCUUCGGUGGCAUGACGAAGGUCAAUGCUUGCCGAAGGUGGUCGAAAAGAGUUCACCCCACGGUGGGCGCCAAUGUUGGGGACUUGUUCUCAAAUGCUAUGAGUUAGGAACAAGGCAACAUAAGAAAUGUUAAACGUUAAUGCCCUUCGUCCUUCGAGACAUUAUUUCCCUUAGGAUAUAAUGAUCUUCAGACGAAGGUCAUGAAGGACAUACCUUCAUCAUUGCAAUAUACGAUAAUAAAAGGAGAAUCAUAUAGAAUGUAAGAGACAACAUGAAUAAGUAUGUAAUAUUAUCAGCACAUUUCUAUUUUAUUAUCAUGGACAAAUAGAAAUGAUAUCAAAUUACAAAUGUACCUUCAGCUUGAUGGAAGGUAAAAGUACAAGUGUGACACACGAUCAAAUACAAGUCAGCGUGAACAGUACGGGAGCACUGUUCAUCUAUUUAUAGGCACGGGACACAGCCCAUGUAAAAUUACACCCAUGCCCUUUACAUUUGCUAAUGACUCUAUAGUGAUCCAUCGAGGUCUAAAUGGCCUUUUCCCUUUUAAGUCAGUUCCCUUUUCCGCUGUUAUGCCGAAGCUCCCUUGUGCGUAGCUUCAGCGCUACGUCAACCUUCGUAUUCUUUGUGCUUCUCACACUGUGGUUCUGAUCCGAGUCCGAAGGUACCUGUUCAUGUAUCAUACUCCAGAAACAUUGUUAAAUCAUGUUUUUGAGGACCUUCGGAAGACGAAGGCCCCCGACAACCAAGCCACUAGAUGAGAAAACUUUUACCAAUCUUAGGCAUGAGCUAAACAUUCUAGAUUCUAGGAAUUUUGAUUGAUAUUUUGCACACAUAGCUUAUUUCAAUACCUUUGAUCAUAUCUCUUUCAUGUGCUAUGACUAAUGUGGUUUUCAAGUAUAUUUCAUGCUAAGUCAUAGAUUGAAAGGAAAAUGGAGUCUUCGGCGAAGAAAAGGCUUCCACUCCAUCGAAUUAUUCAUCCUUCGCCGACACUCCACAUCGCUCUCCAAUUUGGUAUAAUCUUCACUCCUACAUUAUUUACCAAAGGGGGAGAAAGUUUGAAAAAGGGCUUAUAUUUUCACUCACAAGUAUCCGUUUUUGGCGAUUCAUGCCAAAGGGGGAGAAAGUAUUAGCCCAAAGCAAAAGGACCGCACCACCACCAAUUUCAAAAAUGAAGUCUUUUAAAUUUGUACUAAAAGAAGGUUUUUCAAUUGGUAUCUUAUUUUUGAUAGAAUUUUCAAAUUGGUAUAACCCAUUUCAAAAUUAAUAUCUAAAACUCUCUUGAACAAUAAGAGGAGAAUUUCAUUAAGGGGGAGUUUUGUUUAGUCAAAGGAAAAGCAUUUGAAACAGGGGGAGAAAAUUUCAAAUCUUAAAAAUGCUUCUCAAAAUCUUACUCAUUUACCUUUGACUACUUGCAAAAAGACUUUGAAAAGAAUUUCCAAAAGAGUUUGCAAAAACAAAACAAGUGCUGCAAGCGUGGUCCAAAAUGUUAAAAUAGAAGAAAGCAUCCAUGCAUAUCUUAUAAAAUGUAUAUUGGUUUAAUUCCAAGUAACCUUUGCACUUUCAUUAUGCAAACUAGUUCAAUUCUGCAAUUAUAUAUUUGCUUUGGUUUGUGUUGGCAUCAAUCAUCAAAAAGGGGGAGAUUGAAAGGGAAAUAGGCUUACACCUUUUCCUAAAUGGUUUUGGUGGUUGAAUUGCCCAACGCAAAUAAUUGGACUAACUAGUUUGCUCUAGAUUAUAAGUUCUACAUGUGCCAGAGGUUCAACACAAACCAAUAAAAAGUCCAAGAAAGGGUUCAAAUAAAAAGAGCAAAAGACAACCGAAUGCUGCCCUGGUCUGGCGCACCGGACAGUGUCCGGUGCACCAGGGAGAUUCACUCCAAACUUGCCACCUUUGGGAAUUUGGGAAGCCACUCCGCUAUAAUUCACCGGACUGUCCGGUGUAGCACCGGACUGUCCAGUGUGCCAAGCGGAGCAACGGUCGUUAGCGCAACGGUCGAGUUGAACGGUCGGCUCACAACGCUACAGUGCGCGUACUGCGCGCGCAGAAGUUAGAGCAGGUGCAGAUGGCGCAUCGGACAGUGAACAGGACCUGUCCGGUGCACCACCGGACUAUCCGGUGGCCCACAUGUCAGAAGCUCCAACGGUCGAACCCUAACGGUUGGGUGACGUGGCUGGCGCACCGGACAGUGGCCGGUGGCGCACCGGACUGUCCGGUGCGCCCAUCGACAGUAGAGUUCCCCAACGGCCACUUUGGUGGUUGGGGCUAUAAAUACCCCCCAACCACCACACUUCAAUGCAUCCAAGUUUUCAGCCAUCAAACCUCAUACAAGAGCUCUAUACUUCAUUCCAAGACACAAACAAAGAGAUCAAAUCCUCUCCCAAGUCCGGAAUCACUUCAAACAAAUUAGUGACUAGAGAGAGAGACUUUUGUGUUCUUUUGAGCUCUUGCGCUUGGAUCGCUUUUCUUCUUCCUCCUUUCUUGUUCUCAACUCAAUUGUAAUCAAAGCAAGAGACACCAAGUUGUGGUGGUCCUUGUAGUGGACUAAGUGUCCUGUUUGAUUGAAGAGAAAAGCUCACUCAGUCUAGGUGACCGUUUGAGAGAGGGAAAGGGUUGAAAGAGACCCGGUCUUUGUGACCACCUCAACGGGGAGUAGGUUUGCAAGAACCGAACCUCGGUAAAACAAAUCAUCGUGUUCAUUCGUUUUAUUUCUUUGUUGAUUUGUUUUCCCUCUCUUUCGGACUCGAUUAUAUUUUUAACGCUAACCCCGACUUGUUGUUGUGCUUAAACUUUAUAAAUUUCAGAUUUGCCUAUUCACCCCCCCUUUAGGUGACUUUUAGUCUCAACACCUCCUCUCUCGUACGAUGCGCUUUACCAUGGAAGAUCCACCGAGUAUAGUCUGGCGUAAAUCUGAUCUUCCAAAUAUGUUCUACCAUGGCCUUCUUUGAUUUUCUUUUCCGGUUGGCACAUUUGCUGCACGGGCAUGGGACUAGACUCGCUCCUUUAGCAGCUUUGCCAUAUGCCCGUUCCACAAAAGCAUCGGUCUUUCUAAUCCAUUCAGGGGUGACAUCAUUCCUACUUACACGGCAUGUGUACAUCCACUCACGGUCUUCCAUCCUCUAACAUAUGUAACCGAGUAUAGUUUAAUAUAAACAUGUAAUGCAUGUACGCUAUGUUCCUACCUUAUAAUAGGUGAGUAUAGUUCUUAAUCUCACUCGCGGUUGCGUAGACGAAGUUAGUUUCCAUGCUCUACUUCGAUCCAAGACAGAGUUCCGGCAGCACCUCCCCGUUGUUCUCCGGAUACACGCCCUAGCAGGUAGAAUGUACUGUCCGGAGAUCAACAUGGAGGUGAAACCGAAACUCUGUCUCGGACCGGAGUAGAGCAUGGAAACUAAUACCAGGGCGACGGUGGAGUAGGGAUAGCGGGGCUGUGGCGGGUCGGUGCAGUGGCGACGUGUCGCAGUGCAGGUUCUAGUGUGGCGGCAAGGAAUACCUCUGCAAAAAAAAAUUAACACAAGUUUAUCAACAAAAAAAUCGGCAGGACUUCCCCUGCACGAGGAGGUUGCAAAAAACCAGCAAAUAAAACUAACAGCACGAUGGCUGACAUCCACACAUAUACUAGCAAAAAAUAGACUUGCGUGUGUUAUUUACAAUUGUGUUAGUUACACACAAUCUAUUGAUGCCAUAUUUGUUGUGUACUAGCGAUUGGCAAGAAGAAUCAACUUUUAGGCACUAAAACAUCUAGUGGGUUCAAAUUAAAGAACUUCUUCUAUUAAUUACAGAACCACCCCAUCGGCCGACCAGGAUCCAAAUUAAAGAACUUCUUCUUCUAUUAAUUAUAGUAUAUUAUAAUUACCAAGUCUCUUCUUAUAUUUACAUGUUCAUUUGCUUGCUUCUUGCAUAACAUAACGGCGAUCGAUGAUGACCAUCGUUAGUUUUAGUCCUACGUGUAUUUGAUUCAAUCCCUCCAUGUUCAUAGUAUAAAUUCAACCAAACCUAAAUAAGUUUCAGUCAGCUUGAUCUUAAAAUUGCAUCAUACACACACAUACAUAGUCUUACUAGAAGUAAGCAAUUUCUUUUAAACUAAUUUCCAGCCAACAUUGAUGAAUGAACUAGAAUGUGGCUAUAACCGAGACCUGUGUGGGUGGUGCUGGAGAUGGGGACGUUGGGCCGAGGCUCACCGGCGUCGAGGCCUGUCCGAAGAUGGCCGACCGCCAGGCCGGGGACGGGGCUCGUUGGAGAUGGCCGGGUCGAGCGACGGUGGGGACGUCGGAGGCAGGGAGGAUGGCCGGCACGGUGUCCGGAGCCGGAGGGGAUGACCGGAGAGGAGGAUGGUCGGCGCUUGCUCCGAUGGCGUUGGCGGCGAGUGGCGUUGGCGGAGGGGACGACUGGUUAGGGCUAUGUACACAGACUUUGCCGAGUGCCAUAUCACGGGCACUCGGCAAAGAUUUUUUUUAAAUUUAAAAAUAAACUUUGCCGAGUGUCACAGAUCACUGACAGGCACUUGGCAAAGAUUGUUUUAAUUUUUUUAAAAAAACUUUACAGAGUGUCCCACGGCAGGCACUCGACAAAGAAUGCUUUACUGACUGCCUUAUUUUGACACUCGACAAAGAAUUCUUUGCCAAGUGCCCGAUAAAAAGCACUUGGCAAAGCACCGAGCACUCGGCAAAGAGCCGGAUUCCGGUGUGGUUGUUUCAUGGAAGUUGUAAGUAGACCAUCUUAACAAGGUCAACAAUAGAAGUACAACUCACAACAUUAGAUACUGCCAAAGUUAAUGUUGAGAGGCUUCGUGAACUCCUUAUGGAUUUACUAGUAGUUGAAAAACCAAUACUGGUUAUCUAUAUGAGCUAUAAUAAUUAAACAUUGGUAAUCAAAGUGAACAAUUCUUAGGUUAACAUGAAGACUACAAAGCAUGUCAAGAACGGUUGAAACUGUUAAAACACUAAGAAACUCUAGAUUAAUUGUGUUGGACUAUGUCCAUACUUCUAAGAAUUUGGUAUGCCAGUUUAUAGAAGAUUUGUCACAUAAUGUGAUAGAUGGUGCAUCGAGAAAGAUGGACUUGAGACCCACUUAAUGCCAUUCCAUAGUAGUAGCAUUUUCUAUGUGAUUGGAGAUCUCAUGAAGUAAAAUGGUGAAAUAAGCUAGAGAAUGACUGAUGGAGAGACUCCUUAAAUAAAAUCUAGGUAAUUUCAUAUGAACAUUUCUCCUUCGAUGUACGAUAGGCUAACUAAAAUCUUAAUAUGAUUUGAGUGACAUAUCUAAGCAGGGAUGUUAUCUUAUAGAACAUCCUAUAAGGAACACACCUAUAUGACUUUGACUACUAAUCACAGUCUAUGAUAUGUGGGAAAUAUUUUUUUACUCAUGAAAGGCCUCGAAGUUUGACUUAUAUGCUUCAAACCAAUGGAUAACUGAUUGAAUCUGUUUCAGACAGCAGCAUAGUUAACUUCAAAAUUCUAUAUCUCCCAAACUUCUCAACCAAAAAUUAUUAAAUUAUGCUGACAGUAAGAACUUUUAUCCCUCUACAAAAGUCUCCAUAGUUGGAAGAGCCAAUUCGGCCAUUUACUAGAUGAAACCUACCAGUUAACAGACCCGCUCAUUUUUGUCAGGCAAACAAGAACCCUUAUAUAUCAAAGAGUAGUGGAUUUGAAUUUGUCUAAUAUGAAGUUUAUGGGCUUGGAUCAUUUAAAGUAUUUUAUAAUUCUGAAAGACAAGAUUAAACUAACUAUGUAUGAUCCUUUAGCACCGUACAGAUGGUCGAUGGGACAGUUACAUGGUUUAUAUAGAUGGACCUAUCUAUAUUCCUUCAGUGGUUGAGAACAAGGUAAAGGUGUGUCACACUCACGCGUGCGCCGCCUCCGCCGAGACGAGGCAUGGCGUUGCAGGGUGAGGCAUGGCAUGGUGCAGCACGAUCGCAGUCAUGGUCGUGGCACAGUGUAGCACUGUUGUGGAUAGAUAGAUAAACUAUUGUUGUAGUUAGAGUGCAUGAGUUUUUGAAUGCAACACUAGAAUUUUCACAAUUUAACUUAAUUAAGAAGUUAUAUCUUGAUGACACAGAGUUACCUGACCAUUGAUCUCACAUGCCCUUUUAGCUCUCUCGUACUCUAGACUUACCCUGACUAUUUAGGUCUCCUGACUCGCCAAUAUAAACACCAUCCUAUCAUUUGCUGUCGAAUACUUCUGUGUCACAACUCAACUGUCAGAUGAGUACUCCAUUACAGCACUGAGCAGGCCUCCGAAAUGAAUAUCUACUCAGAUGAAGGACGACAAUCGUGUUCUAGGGAAAUAUCAGCGACACAACUCCUUACUUCCUCCGCUUCUUCCUAGUGUUUUUUGUUGUGAUUGAGUCGACAUAGCAACAACACUGCACUAUUACAACCAGUACGACUAUAUCAACUAGCAAUGUCUUCCUUAUAUGUUACUAUUUAUUUUGCUCAUAUUCAUUAUGUUUAAAUCACAUAGGCGCCUUUAUGUUGGCAUCAAAAAAUCAGUAUCAACUUUAUAGAUUAAAAUGAAACUAAAAGUACCUAAAUUUCUAUCGGUGGGGAUCGAGUGAUUCUUUAAACCGAUUAUUACACAAGUUAACCACACUAAAAUUAACAAUGGUGAAUCGUGCCAUGAUUUUUUUCUAGUGGAAAAUAGCCAAACCAAGCAACACAUAUGUGGCUAUCGUUACACAUGUGUAAAGGUAUUGCAUCACACCAUUGUCACCCAUGUAUGUGGACAAUACCGAGAGGAAAAACCACUUAUUUAUUGUAUUUUAUCAAGUUUGUCUUGCUUACGUAUAAAUUAUAACCCAACAAAGUAAUCACUAAAUGUCAAAACCAACUAGAUACCAUGUCAUCUCUACCUUAUCUUACUAAUAUUCUUUUUGCAAAAUCCAAAAUUAAUCUUGCACAAGCACAAGGACUGAGAUGUGUAUAAAUAUCUCUUAAAUUAGUAGCUAAUAUAUCGCACAUAUUAUUGAGACCAACUAGCAACAUAGAAAGCACAAUAGUGUACCAACAAUGGCAGCCAAAAUAUUUUGCCUCCUUAUGCUCCUUGGUCUUUCUGCAAGUGCUGCUACGGCGACCAUUUUCCCGCAAUGCUCGCAAGCUCCUAUAGCUUCCCUUCUUCCCCCGUACCUCUCACCAGCGGUGUCUUCGGUAUGUGAAAACCCAAUUCUUCAACCCUACAGGAUCCAACAGGCAAUCGCAGCUGGCAUCUUACCUUUAUCACCCUUGUUCCUCCAACAAUCAUCAGCCCUAUUACAACAGUUACCUUUGGUGCAUUUAUUGGCACAAAACAUCAGGGCACAACAACUACAACAACUUGUGCUAGCAAACCUUGCUGCCUACUCUCAGCAACAGCAGUUUCUUCCAUUCAACCAACUAGGUUCAUUGAACUCUGCUUCUUAUUUGCAACAACAACAACUACCAUUCAGCCAGCUACCUGCUGCCUACCCCCAGCAAUUUCUUCCAUUCAACCAACUAGCAGCAUUGAACUCUCCUGCUUAUUUACAGCAGCAACAACUACUACCAUUCAGCCAGCUAGCUGGUGUGAGCCCUGCUACCUUCUUGACACAACCACAGUUGUUGCCGUUCUACCAGCACGUUGCGCCUAACGCUGGCACCCUCUUACAACUGCAACAAUUGCUGCCAUUCAACCAACUUGCUUUGACAAACCCAGCAGUGUUCUACCAACAACCCAUCAUUGGUGGUGCCCUCUUUUAGAUUUCUUAUGAGUUAUAGUUCAAUAAUAAAGUUUUUUAUCUGAUGUUUGUGGCUUCCCAGAAAUAAGAAAGUACAUUUCUAGAUUCUUAUGUGCUUCUAGUCUUCAAAUGUGGUUGAUAGUUAUUGUUGGGGACUUGUUCUCAAAUGCUAAGAGUUAAGAACAAGGCAACAUAAAAAUGUUAAAUGCUAAAGUCCUUCGUCCUUCGAAGCAUUAUUUCCCUUAGGAUAUAAUGAAUUUCGGACGAAGGCUAUGAAGGACAUACCUUCAUAAGCACAACGAAUGAUGAAGAAGAAUUCAUAUAAAUUAUGAGAUAUAACAUAAACAUUUAAACAUUAUUAUUAACUCAUUUCUAUUGACUUGUCAGGGAAAAAUAGAAAUGAUAAUAAAUUACAAAUAUACCUUCGGCUUGAGAGAAGGUAAAGGUACAAGCGUGAGGCAAAAGCAAAUGCCAAGUCAGCGUGAACAGUACGGGAACACUGUUCAUCUAUUUAUAGGCACGGGACGCAGCCCAUGCAAAAUUACAUCCAGGCCCUUUGCUUUUGACAAUAACUCUAUAGUAAUCUAUCUGGGUCUAGAUAGUCUUUUCCUCUUUAAGUCGGUUUCCUCUUUUCUGCCAUCAUACCGAAGCUCCCUUGCGCACAGCUUCGGCUCUGCUCCAUCCUUCGUAUUGUUUCCGUGCUUCUUCAUACCGUGGGCUCUUGUUCGAAGAUCCCUAUCCACACAUUAUACUCCAGAGGCAUUGUUAAAUCAUGUUUUUGAGGACCUUCGGAAGUCGAAGGCCCCCAACAGUAGCCCCUCGCAAUAUUAAUUUAUUAGAAUGAUAAAUUUAGAUCGCGACAUGGACGAAGGCCUUAAGCCGAAGGUCCGAAAAAACACCUUCCCUUUGCUAGAAUAGCAACAAUCAAUGACAAGCGGGGCCCUUUCCCUUGCAACACACUAGGCGUAUAAAUAAGAGCAUACCGCGAGCGGAUUUGGCACGCUUUUUGCCAUCUGCUCUUGCUCACCCAACUUUUAGCCCUUGCACACCAACACCUGCUUGGCCUUUUUUUAAAAAAAUUUAAGCUUCGGUUUCGAGAGCACUUUCUCAGCAUUUUCGAAGAUGUCUGAAGAUAAGAAAGUUGUCGCUGAGUCGAAGCUGAGACUUUCUGAGGAGAUGAAUCUCGGCUUUCUUGAAUCAAUAGCGAAGACAAAUACAGAGAAGAUUACUAGGGAGAUUUUAGAAGGUUUAUCUGAAGACACUGGUGACAGUGACAGUUAUGAUGUGGAAAGUGGUGGUGAAGAUUCCGAAGAUCGACCCUGGUGACCAAGCCAUGCAGUUUUUGGAAAAUCAAGCAUUAAACUAAGCCAUCUUGUUAAUAUGAGGGGCAGAUAUUUUCGGGAUUUAUCUAUUGUGAGGGCUGAUGAAGGAGAAAAAACUUGUCCUACUCCUGAGGAAAAUGAAGUCGUGAUAUUCCGAAGCUUCUUCAAGGCUGGGCUUCGGUUUCCUUUAAGCGGUUUCGUGGUUGAAGUUUUGAAGAUUUUUGAAAUCUACCUCCAUCAAAUUACUCCUGAAGCAAUCAUAAGGAUGGGAAUCUUCGUAUGGGCUGUGAAGAGCCAAGGUUUGGAGCCGAAUGCAAAAAGUUUCUGCAAUAUGCAUGAGCUAUUAUACGAGACGAAACCUUGGGGUAAAGAGAAAUAUCAUAACAAUUUUGGCUGCUACAGCUUCGGCGCCCGCUCUGGGUCAAGCUGUCCCGUGCCAACUUUUUGGAAGAGAUGGCCCGGGGACUCGAUGAAGGAAUGGUGUUAUGUAAAAAACGACUUGAAAACGCGAGAAGGUAUUAAAGAUAUCAUCAUGCGCCCCAUCUGGCAGCGUUUCGGCCUUCGGAAACCGAAGGUGGAUAUUGACGAAGCAACCGAAGAAUGCCAGAGGGCCUUCGGCGUAGUUUGCUCUUUCAUCGGGACAAGGGAUUUGAUCCAGGAACAUAUUUCCUUCAGAGUAUGGCCACUUGUAGAAAAGUGGGAAAUGCCGAAGGAAACCAUCAGCAAACCUGAUGAAGUGGACUAGUUAGGUUAAAAUAUACCUUCAGAUAUGGAGAUAAGUUUGUGGAGCCAGAUGAUGACUGGCUGAAAUGUAUUGAGGCCACAAGCGAUGAACUGCUUGGGCCAUAUUCGAAGACAGAAGAUACUGCACUGUCCGCGGCCUUCGGAGGUCGGAAGAAGAGACUCAACCGAGUGUUUGAUGCCAUUGGGUUCGUCUAUCCUGACUACCGUUACCCAACACAGGGUCAGAAAGGGAAAGAUACGACUUCUGUGAAGAAAGUUGCUUCAGCCGCUCCUAGUGAGCCGGCGCCGAAGAGGAAAAAGAUGAAGGUUCUUACGCACCGGCCACGCUAUAUUGAACCGGCCACAGUGCCUGAGUUUGUCGGUGAGACCUCUUCGGCCACCGAAGCCAAGGAGCCGACUCUCCUGCCGAAUAUUGAAGAGCCGGCCAAAAUGCCGGCAAUGGAAAAAAUAGAAGAACCGAGGGCUGAAGAGACAAAGACAUCGGAAAAGAAUGGUUAACGUGCUAAUGCCGAAUAUUGAAGUCCUUCAGCAAGAAUCGAGGUGCUAAUGCCAAUGCCGAUGGCACAAAAAGACCUUACGACAACCCCCAAGAGGAAAAGAAUGGUUAACGUGCUAGAUGUACUGGAAACGAUAAAAUCUUCAAGCUCUACUCCGAAGAUAGCUACUGAAGUUCCAAAGACACAAACUGAGGCCAAAGCUGCCAAAAGUCAAGCGGAAACUGAAACUGGGCUUUCAGAGCCUACCAAGAGGGAAUUCUUGGAAAUUGAAAAAGAAACGGAAAAAGAAUCUGCAGAAGAAACUUUUUCUGAGAAAAUCGUCACACAUAUUCCCGAAGCAUCUUCUGAAGCUUCUGACUAUGUAUUACGUCAUGCUUCGGGUAAAAAUCUGAGCGAAAAAGAAAAAAGAGAAGCUCAAUUCUAUGCGCAAAAAUUGAAAUAUCCAAAAGGGGCGCUGAUAUUCAACGGCAGCGGAGAAGAAGACUUCUUGUAUUGUCUCCCUCAUAGCAAGGAGAUUUCUGUCUGUCGGGAGAUGAGCAAAAGCUUCGGAUUCCCAACAUUAGAAGACGGGCUCUUGGUGUUGUCAAAGGACGAGCUAGCCGACAGCUUAGCGUAUAAUAGUUUAAAGGUGAAGAAAAUGAGAUCUUUGUAUUAUUUCUUGAAACCAAAAUUUUUCAUUUGCUUAAACUUAUUAACGCAUUUUUUUACAGGGUCUUAUACUUAGCAAUGCCCUCAGGGCACAAAAGAAUGACGAAGACGAAGGGUGCGCCAUAGCCCUGAGCAACCUUCGUUCCGAAGUAAUUGAUCUAAGGAACGAAGGUCUCGAAAAAGAUAAAAUAUUACAUUCGUUGGUGAAUAAAAUAAAAGAAGAUGAAGCUACUUUCAAAGCUCAAGCUGAGGCUCAGAAGCACGAAAUUGAGAAUCUUCGGAAACAACUAGCCAGAGCUACAGAAGAAUACACAAUUGAAGAAACAAAACGAGAAAUUAGUGAACAAUGGGCAAAUCAUUUAGAAAAAAACGUUGAAGAGCUUCGUGCGUCCAAGAAAAGGUGUUAUGAAAAAUCUAUAGAAUGUGUUAAGAAAAUAAGAACCAGCUUCACCAACGUUGGCGCGUUUUCAAGUGAAGAAAAUUUCAUGAGGGGUGACCCCGAAAGCCCAAUUGGAUGGAUCAGCCACGAAGCUGAAGCUUUUGAAUAGCCGUGGAGACAUAUGUGCCUUCUCGGGUGCCAGGGGGAUUGCCGCUGUUUUGGAGAAGAAAGGUUGCGAUCACGUGAAAUCCCUGGCACAGACCGAAGCCGUUUUAUCCUCUGAAGACAUAAAAGACCCUUCGGCCGAGGCGAGUUUGGUUGGUGGGAAAUUUUUCACCGACAUCUGGGAAAACGGUGGCCGGGAGAUGGCUCAAGAAAUUAUACGGAGAAGCGAGAAUGGUAUACAUGACGCUAGAAAAGUAGCAGAGGCCGCUGAGAAAAGUGUGGAUCUCGAAGGGCGAAUAGGUAUUAACUAGUAAUUUUUGGCUUUUUGUUGUAACCUUUUGAUUUUGAACUUGUUUACACUUUGUAACAUGGUCGCACCUUCUCCUCCCUCAGAGCCUGCCGAGCCAUCGACAGACCCCCACGUAAAGGGGGAUGACGAGAUUAGAAGAAUGGCUGAAGCUAUCAUGGACAAAGUUGUUGAUCAAUUACUAAACGAAGCUGCAGAAAUAGUUCUAAGGGAAGAUUAGAUGUUAUUGUAAAAACAUUUGGAAUGUAAUAUUUGUUGAACAAUAUGUGUAAUAUUUUGUAACUUUGAAUGUAAUAUAUAAUCUAUUUGUGGUUCAAUUCUUUACGAUGCAUGAAACUUUACAUACAUACCGUUUUUGAGCCUUCGGCGAAAAAACACCUUCCCUUCUUUUCAUGCUUCGUAAAUAAUAUCCGUAUAUCAUAAAAACAUCCAAUUUUCGUAAAAUCAGUAACCAAUAGAUCUUUUUAUUUCAUAAAAACAUCCAAUCUUCGUAAAAUCAGUAACCAAUCUUCGUAAAGGCAUGCUUCUUCAAUAAUUAUUUUUGUGCCUUGGCACUGUUUCUUCGAAACAAUCUCCGAAUAUCAACAUUGAAACCCCCUUCUUGCGUCAUUGAUGCAAUAUGAUGUAUGAUGUUAUGCUAUGCAAAUGAUGUGAUGAUGUGAUGUUAUGCAAAAUGAUAUUUGCCGAAGAUCAACGUUUAUUUUUCACUGCAAGCCUCCCUUAGGAGCUUCUUCGCCUUUUACUUCAGCGGAAUCAGCAUUUAUUUUUCGCUGUAAGCCUCCCUUAGGAGCUUCUUCGCCUUUUACUUUCAGCGGAAUCAGCGUUUAUUUUUUGCUGUAAGCCUCCCUUAGGAGCUUCUUCGCCUUUUACUUUCAGCGGAAUCAGCGUUUAUUUUUCGCUGUAAGCUCUGCAUUCCCUUCGGAACGACUUUUGAGCAGAAAACUUACGCUGCGCUCCCUUAGGAACGACUUUUUGUUAUUUCGGAGAUUCUCCUUGUAACCAUAAAUUCUUAUGCUUCGGCAACUCUGUUAUUUUGUGGAGAAGGUAUAUUUUUACUGUGGCGAAAACGAAGCUAUUACAAGAAAUUGAAAACGACAAAAAGCACUUAGGCUUUCAAUAAUUGUUCCUUAUUAAAAAGAAAAUGAUACUGAAUGUAAAAACUACUGCCGAGGUAGGAUAUUUGUUAGUAAAUAUGCUUCGAUUCUGGCACAGUACUAUUGACUGUGCGAGCUUCGGACUCUUCUCUAAAGUCCCGUUGAAGGUGGAUAUGCUGACUCCCUUCUGGCUGCUGGCUUUGUUGCAUUGGUGGUGGAGGUGGAGGCUGCUGCCAAGAUGCCUGAGGUUGGCUUGCCGAAGCAACAGAAGCUGCAGGGUGGUUGCCUACAUACUCUGGAAUGUAAGGCGAAUGGUAUGAAGCAGUGUGCAUAACUUGCUUCGGCUGGCUCUGUUGGGCUGCAGCUUCUGCUAUCUCCUUUUGUUUCUGGAUGGUAACAUGGCACAUCCUGGUGGUAUGGCCCUUGUCCUCUCCACAGAAUAGGCAAUAGAUCUUCCUGGGCUGAUCCCCAAAUCUUCCUCCGAAGCCCCUGGCACCUCUACCCCUUGGAGCUGGAGGCCGAGGAUAGCUCUGCUGCUGCCCCGAAGCCUGGGAGGAAUAUUGCGGCCUCUGCUGCUGGCUUCCCCUGUCAUCAUUCUGAGUGUUAUGAAUCGAUCUGACAUGUCUAGGGUGAACUCUCCCUCCGAAGCCACUGGCUAUUUUGGAGAACCUGUAAGCUUCCUCCCUUCUCUAUCGGAAGUCGUUGUCAGCGCGGAUGUAUUCGUCCAUCUUCUGAAGCAGUUUCUCCAGAGUCUGAGGGGGCUUCCUGGCAAAGUACUGGGCUGAAGGUCCUGGCCGAAGCCCCUUAAUCAUGGCCUCAAUGACAAUUUCAUUGGGCACUGUUGGUGCUUGUGCCCUCAGGCGUAAGAACCUUCGGACAUACGCCUGAAGAUAUUCUCCGUGGUCUUGGGUGCACUGGAAUAAGUCUUGAGCGGUGACCGGCUUCGUUUGAAACCCUUAGAAACUGGUGAUCAGCAUAUCCUUCAGCUUCUGCCAUGAUGUGAUUGUUCCUGGCCGAAGGGAGGAGUACCAGGUUUGUGCAACAUUCUUGACGGCCAUGACGAAAGACUUCGCCAUGACUGCAAUAUUGCCACCAUAGGAAGAUAUCGUUGCUUCGUAGCUCAUCAGAAACUGCUUCAGAUCUGAGUGUCCGUUGUACAUGGGGAGUUGAGGUGGCUUGUAAGACGGAGGCCAAGGUGUAGCCUGCAGUUCUGGUGAUAGAGGAGAAGCAUCGUCAAAAGCAAAAUUUCCAUGAUGGAAAUCCUCAUACCAGUCAUCCUCGUUGACGAAGCCCUCUUGGUGGAGCUCUCUGUACUGGGGCCUCCGGUUCUAUUCAUCUUGCGUAAGAUGACGAACCUCUUUAGAGGCUUUGUCUAUCUGCCUUUGUAGGUCAGCUAGCCGGGCCAUCUUUUCUUUCUUCUUUUGCACUUGUUGAUGCAGCAUUUCCAUGUUCCUGAUUUCUUGGUCCAAAUCGUCCUCCUGAGGCGUUGGACUGGUGGCCUUCCUCUUCUGGCUUCGGGCUUCCCGAAGAGAGAGAGUCUCCUGGUUCGUGUCCAGCGGCUGCAGAGCCGCAGCCCCUGUUGCUGAAGCUUUCUUUGGCGGCAUGACAAAGGUCGAUGCUUGCCGAAGGUGUUCGAAACUCAAAAAGUGGAAGUGAGUUCACCGGAGGUGGGCACUAAUGUUGGGGACUUGUUCUCAAAUGCUAAGAGUUAAGAACAAGGAAACAUAAAAAUGUUAAAUGCUAAAGUCCUUAGUCCUUCGAAGCAUUAUUUCCCUUAGGAUAUAAUGAAUUUCGGACGAAGGUUAUGAAGGACAUACCUUCAUAAGCACAACGAAUGAUGAAGAAGAAUUCAUAUAAAUUAUGAGAUAUAACAUAAACAUUUAAACAUUAUUAUUAACUCAUUUCUAUUGACUUGUCAGGGAAAAAUAGAAAUGAUAAUAAAUUACAAAUAUACCUUCGGCUUGAGAGAAGGUAAAGGUACAAGCGUGAGGCAAAAGCAAAUGCCAAGUCAGCGUGAAUAGUACGGGAACACUGUUCAUCUAUUUAUAGGCACGGGACGCAGCCCAUGCAAAAUUACAUCCAGGCCCUUUGCUUUUGACAAUAACUCUAUAGUAAUCUAUCUGGGUCUAGAUAGUCUUUUCCUCUUUAAGUCGGUUUCCUCUUUUCUGCCAUCAUGCCGAAGCUCCCUUGCGCACAACUUCUGCUCUGCUCCAUCCUUCGUAUUGUUUCCGUGCUUCUUCAUACCAUGGGCUCUUGUUCGAAGAUCCCUGUCCACACAUUAUACUCCAGAGGCAUUGCUAAAUCAUGUUUUUGAGGACCUUCGGAAGCCGAAGGCCCCCAACAGUUAUUUUGCUCUAAGAUCGGCAGUAAUGAAGUAUAAAUCAUCGUUGUGGUGUGCUACUCGGUUAAUUGAGCAUUAACACACACAAACAUGACGAGGAUGGUAUAAUCUCCAAAAAUGUGUACUUUGUUAGGUGGGACCCUAUAGCCUUGCAGAAUGUGCUAUGUUAGGCAUGCCUGGAAACGUGUGACGCAUACGUUUUGUGAACCUGUUCAUAUUAUAUGUGCUUUUAUAUUAUCGUAUUUUAUUAAAAUACUAAUAUUUAUUACUAGUAAGAUAUAACAUUCUAUCUAGCUUAAAAACUAACCAUAAAUAUUCCAUAAUAACUAGAUUUACCAAACUAAUAUACUAAAUAUACAUAAUAAAUACAAAAUUAACAAGACAAUAAUCAAUAUUUAUGAGCUUAAUAUAUUUAGACAUUAUGGUUGGUCGACGAUAAUCAUGCUAACUUUCCGUAAUUGCUUGAUUGUAAAUAUGCUUAGAAUAAUGCCUCUUUGUUCUACAUGGCAAAUAGGGACCAUUAUGGUGUAACACCCUGGGAUCCACAAACACCCUGAAAUGCUACUAAACUACACAACUAACCUUCAUAUAUUAAAUUUCGACAGCAUCUCCUUUGAAAAUUUGUAUAAACGUGGAAGCAACAGAGUAUAAACAGAUAUGAUGAUAAGGAAACAUAAUAGACAUUAAUAAUCUGCUAGAAAUGGGAAGAUAACCAUAACGACAUAAACUGAAUUAACUAGUGUGCACGGCAUGUUAAAAACAAACAUCGUUGACAAGAAGUUUCUAAUUAAAUCAUGGCUGUGCCUAGGCAGCGUUAUUAUAUGAGUGAAGGUGGACGUGAUGCUACUUCCCUCAUUCCCAACAUGAAUCAAGUACCUGUAUUGAGUAAUGCAAGAGUGAGAUGAAAACAUCUCAGCAAGUAAAUUGUUUUGACGAGAUAUUUAAACCAAAAAAAUUUGAUUUAAUCAACAUUUUAAAGGGAUCACAAUUGAGAUCAGACAUACUUGUAGAUAUAAAACUCAAUAGUCCCAAAAUAACCAAUGCCAUCUCAUUUCCACAAACAACCACAAUAGGUUGUAUAACACUUCCCUGCGUCAUCAAUACCUGCAAAUAUCACUUCAAUGUAUGCAUAGGAAUGCAAUGUUUAAGUCCUCUGCAUUCAUACUUCUUAGAGUAUAAAACCACACCAUCUGCAAAUAUCACUUCAAUGAAUGCAUAUGAAUGCAAUGCAUAUGUCCUCUGCCUUCAUACCUCUAAGGGUAUGAAGACGCAUCGUACCCCUCCUCGGGCAACGUACGAUGCUAAGUUGUACCGGUACGGUCGGACCAUAGGUCACGACAAAACUUCAGAUGCAAGUGAAUCAUGACAUGUAUAUGGCAUGCUGCAUUUAUCAAUAUACUACACUUCCUUCACAUACAAUACAAACCUCAAAUAAUACUUCGUUUACCUUCAGAUACAAUACAAACCUCAAAUAAUACUUCAUUCACCUUCAGGGGUGUUUAUUAAUCUCGUGGGUCAUACUCAAAUCAUCAUCAUCAUCAAUGAUGUUUAAGCAUCAGUAUAAUACAAUCAAGUAAAGCAUCACCAUAGAGUUCAAUUAUGAAAGAAUUCGAUGAUUCUGAAUAUUAGAGUGUAUGCGAUGAAACAACAAAGUCAAAACGGUAGCAACCACCGCUACAUUCACUUGCCUUCAUCGAAGAAGAAAAAGGUACUAGGCAUGAUUCGGAGUGUAGACACCUGCUGUGGGGCUUAAAACUUAGUACAAAUAUUCCACAAACAUUUGCCAACAACUAACAAAUCGCUCCUACACUUGUAACCAAGACCCGGUGGAAUGACUCCCACCCUGAACCACAUGUCAAACAGCAGGAGUGCUGUUUGUUAAUUUUGUAUCUUUAAAAUUAUAACAGUGGUGAUAUCAAACAAAUACUCUAGAAGUUUCUACACAAAAUACUCUACAACUUCGGUAUUCAAUGGAUAAUUAAAUUUUGCCAUCUAUAAGUUCUAAAACAUCUGACAAGAUAACUGACAGAAUCUGUUUCAGACAGCAGCAUAGUUAACUUCAAAAUUCGAUAUCUCCCAAACUCCUCAACCAAAAUUUAUGAAAUUAUGUUGACAGUAAGAACUUUUAUCCCUCUACAAAAGUCUCCAUAGUUGGAAGAGCCAAUUCGGCCAUUUACUAGAUGAAACCUACCAUUUAACAGACCCGCUCAUUUUUGUCAGGCAAACAAGAACCCUUAUAUAUCAAAGAGUAGUGGAUUUGAAUUUGUCUAAUAUGAAGUUUAUGGGCUUGGAUCAUUUAAAGUAUUUUAUAAUUCUGAAAGACAAGAUUAAACUAACUAUGUAUGAUCCUUUAGCACCGUACAGAUGGUCGAUGGGACAGUUACAUGGUUUAUAUAGAUGGACAUAUCUAUAUUCCUUCAGUGGUUGAGAAAAAGGUAAAGGUGUGUCACACUCACGCGUGCACUGCCUCCGCCGAGACGAGGCAUGGCGUUGCAAGGUGAGGCAUGGCAUGGUGCAGCACGAUCGUAUACAUGGUCGUGGCACAGUGUAGCACUGUUGUGGAUAGAUAGAUAAACUUUUGUUGUAGUUAGAGUGCAUGAGUUUUUGAAUGCAACACAAGAAUUUUCACAAUUUAACUUAAUUAAGAAGUUAUAUCUUGAUGACACAGAGUUACCUGACCAUUGAUCUCACAUGCCCUUUUAGCUCUCUCGUUCUCUAGACUCACCCUGACUAUUUAGGUCUCCUGACUCGCCAAUAUAAACACCAUCCUAUCAUUUGCUCUCGAAUACUUCUGUGUCACAACUCAACUGUCAGAUGAGUACUCCAUUACAGCACUGAGCAGGCCUCCGAAAUGAAUAUCUACUCAGAUGAAGGACGACAAUCGUGUUCUAGGGAAAUAUCAGCGACACAACUCCUUACUUCCUCCGCUUCUUCCUAGUGUUUUUUGUUGUGAUUGAGUCGACAUAGCAACAACACUGCACUAUUACAACCAGUACGACUAUAUCAACUAGCAAUGUCUUCCUUAUAUGUUACUAUUUAUUUUGCUCAUAUUCAUUAUGUUUAAAUCACAUAGGCGCCUUUAUGUUGGCAUCAAAAAAUCAGUAUCAACUUUAUAGAUUAAAAUGAAACUAAAAGUACCUAAAUUUCUAUCGGUGGGGAUCGAGUGAUUCUUUAAACCGAUUAUUACACAAGUUAACCACACUAAAAUUAACAAUGGUGAAUCGUGCCAUGAUUUUUUUCUAGUGGAAAAUAGCCAAACCAAGCAACACAUAUGUGGCUAUCGUUACACAUGUGUAAAGGUAUUGCAUCACACCAUUGUCACCCAUGUAUUUGGACAAUACCGAGAGGAAAAACCACUUAUUUAUUGUAUUAUAUCAAGUUUGUCUUGCUUACGUAUAAAUUAUAACCCAACAAAGUAAUCACUAAAUGUCAAAACCAACUAGAUACCAUGUCAUCUCUACCUUAUCUUACUAAUAUUCUUUUUGCAAAAUCCAAAAUUAAUCUUGCACAAGCACAAGGACUGAGAUGUGUAUAAAUAUCUCUUAAAUUAGUAGCUAAUAUAUCGCACAUAUUAUUGAGACCAACUAGCAACAUAGAAAGCACAAUAGUGUACCAACAAUGGCAGCCAAAAUAUUUUGCCUCCUUAUGCUCCUUGGUCUUUCUGCAAGUGCUGCUACGGCGACCAUUUUCCCGCAAUGCUCGCAAGCUCCUAUAGCUUCCCUUCUUCCCCCGUACCUCUCACCAGCGGUGUCUUCGGUAUGUGAAAACCCAAUUCUUCAACCCUACAGGAUCCAACAGGCAAUCACAGCUGGCAUCUUACCUUUAUCACCCUUGUUCCUCCAACAAUCAUCAGCCCUAUUACAUCAGUUACCUUUGGUGCAUUUAUUGGCACAAAACAUCAGGGCACAACAACUACAACAACUUGUGCUAGCAAACCUUGCUGCCUACUCUCAGCAACAGCAGUUUCUUCCAUUCAACCAACUAGCUGCAUUGAACUCUGCUUCUUAUUUGCAACAACAACAACUACCAUUCAGCCAGCUACCUGCUGCCUACCCCCAGCAAUUUCUUCCAUUCAACCAACUGGCAGCAUUGAACUCUCCUGCUUAUUUACAGCAGCAACAACUACUACCAUUCAGCCAGCUAGCUGGUGUGAGCCCUGCUACCUUCUUGAUACAACCACAGUUGUUGCCGUUCUACCAGCACGCUGCGCCUAACGCUGGCACCCUCUUACAACUGCAACAAUUGCUGCCAUUCAACCAACUUGCUUUGACAAACCCAGCAGCGUUCUACCAACAACCCAUCAUUGGUGGUGCCCUCUUUUAGAUUUCUUAUGAGUUAUAGUUCAAUAAUAAAGUUUUUUGUCUGAUGUUUGUGGCUUCCCAGAAAUAAGAAAGUACAUUUCUAGAUUCUUAUGUGCUUCUAGUCUCCAAAUGUGGUUGAUAGUUAUUUUGCUCUAAGAUCGACAGUAAUGAAGUAUAAAUCAUCGUUGUGGUGUGCUACUCGGUUAAUUGAGCAUUAACACACACAAACAUGACGAGGAUGGUAUAAUCUCCAAAAAUAUGUACUUUGUUAGGUGGGACCCUAUAGCCUUGCAUAAUGUGCUAUGUUAGGCAUGCCUGGAAACGUGUGACGCAUAUGUUUUGUGAACCUGUUGAUAUUAUAUGUGCUUUUAUAUUACCAUAUUUUAUUAAAAUACUAAUAUUUAUUACUAGUAAGAUAUAACAUUCUAUCUAGCUUAAAAACUAACCAUAAAUAUUCCAUAAUAACUAGAUUUACCAAACUAAUAUACUAAAUAUACAUAAUAAAUACAAAAUUAACAAGACAAUAAUCAAUAUUUAUGAGCUUAAUAUAUUUAGACAUUAUGGUUGGUCGACCAUAAUCAUGCUAACUUUUCGUACUUGCUUGAUUGUAAAUAUGCUUAGAAUAAUGCCUCUUUGUUCUACAUGGCAAAUAGGGACCAUUAUGGUGUAACACCCUGGGAACCACAAACACCCCGAAAUGCUACUAAACUACACAACUAACCUUCAUAUAUAAAAUUUCGACAGCAUCUCCUUUGAAAAUUUGCAUAAACGUGGAAGCAACAGAGUAUAAACAGAUAUCAUGAUAAGGAAACAUACUAGACAUUAAUAAUCUGCUAGAAAUGGGAAGAUAACCAUAACGACAUAAACUGAAUUAACUAGUGUGCACAACUUGUUUAAAACAAACAUCAUUGACAAGAAGUUUCUAAUUAAAUCAUGGCUGUGCCUGGGUAGCGUUAUUAUGAGAGUGAAGGUGGACGUGAUGCUACUUCCCUCAUUCCCAACAUGAAUCAAGUACCUGCAUUGAGUAAUGCAAGAGUGAGAUGAAAACAUCUCAGCAAGUAAAUUGUUUUGACGAGAUAUUUAAAGCAAAAAAAUUUGAUUUACUCAACAUUUUAAAGGGAUCACAAUUGAGAUCAGAAAUACUUGUAGAUAUAGAACUCAAUAGUCCCAAAAUAACCAGUGCCAUCUCAUUUCCUCAAACAACCACAAUAGGUUGUAUAACACUUCCCUGCGUCAUCAAUACCUGCAAAUAUCACUUCAAUGUAUGCAUAGGAAUGCAAUGUUUAAGUCCUCUGCAUUCAUACUUCUUAGAGUAUAAAACCACACCAUCUGCAAAUAUCACUUCAAUGAAUGCAUAUGAAUGCAAUGCAUAUGUCCUCUGCCUUCAUACCUCUAAGGGUAUGAAGCCGAAUCGUACCCCUCCUCGGGCAACGUACGAUGCUAAGUUGUACCGUUACGGUCGGACCAUAGGUCACGACAAAACUUCAUAUGCAAGUGAAUCAUGACAUGUAUAUGGCUUGCUGCAUUUAUCAAUAUACUUCACUUCCUUCAUAUACAAUACAAACCUCAAAUAAUACUUCGUUUACCUUCAGAUACAAUACAAACCUCAAAUAAUACUUCAUUCACCUUCAGGGGUGUUUAUUAAUCUCGUGGGUCAUACUCGAAUCAUCAUCAUCAUCAAUGAUGAUUAAGCAUCAGUAUAAUACAAUCAAGUAAAGCAUCACCAUAGAGUUCAAUUAUGAAAGAAUUCGAUGAUUCUGAAUAUUAGAGUGUAUGCGAUGAAACAACAACGUCAAAACGGUAGCAACCACCGCUACAUUCACUUGCCUUCAUCGAAGAAGAAAAACAUACUAGGCAUGAUUCAGAGUGUAGACACCUGCUGUGGGGCUUAAAACUUAGUACAAAUAUUCCACAAACAUUUGCCAACAAUUAACAAAUCGCUCCUACACUUGAAACCAAGACCCGGUGGAAUGACUCCCACCCUGAACCACAUGCCAAACAAUAGUAGUGUUGUUUGUUAAUUUUGUAUCUUUAAAAUUAUAACAGUGGUGAUAUCAAACAAAUACUCCAGAAGUUUCUACACAAAAUACUCUACAACUUUGGUAUUCAAUGGAUAAUUAAAUUUUGCCAUCUAUAAGUUCUAAAACAUCUGAUAAGAUAACUGACUGAAUUUGUUUCAGACAACAGCAUAGUUAACUUCAAAAUUCGAUAUCUCCCAAACUCCUCAACCAAAAAUUAUGAAAUUAUUCUGACAGUAAGAACUUUUUUCCCUCUACAAAAGUAUCUAUAGUUGGAAGAGCCAAUUCGGCCAUUUACUAGAUGAAACCUACCAGUUAACAGACCCGCUCAUUUUUGUCAGGCAAACAAGAACCCUUAUAUAUCAAAGAGUAGUGGAUUUGAAUUUGUCUAAUAUGAAGUUUAUGGGCUUGGAUCAUUUAAAGUAUUUUAUAAUUCUGAAAGACAAGAUUAAACUAACUAUGUAUGAUCCUUUAGCACUGUACAGAUGGUCGAUGGGACAGUUACAUGGUUUAUAUAGAUGGACCUAUCUAUAUUCCUUCAGUGGUUGAGAAAAAGGUAAAGGUGUGUCACACUCACGUGUGCGCCGCCUCUACCGAGAUGAGGCAUGGCGUUGCAAGGUGAGGCAUGGCAUGGUGCAGCACGAUCGUAUACAUGGUCGUGGCACAGUGUAGCACUGUUGUGGAUAGAUAGAUAAACUUUUGUUGUAGUUAGAGUGCAUGAGUUUUUGAAUGCAACACAAGAAUUUUCACAAUUUAACUUAAUUAAGAAGUUAUAUCUUGAUGACACAGAGUUACCUGACCAUUGAUCUCACAUGCCCUUUUAGCUCUCUCGUUCUCUAGACUCACCCUGACUAUUUAGGUCUCCUGACUCGCCAAUAUAAACACCAUCCUAUCAUUUGCUCUCGAAUACUUCUGUGUCACAACUCAACUGUCAGAUGAGUACUCCAUUACAGCACUGAGCAGGCCUCCGAAAUGAAUAUCUACUCAGAUGAAGGACGACAAUCGUGUUCUAGGGAAAUAUCGGUGACACAACUCCUUACUUCCUCCGCUUCUUCCUAGUGUUUUUUGUUGUGAUUGAGUCGACACAGCAACAACACUGCACUAUUACAACCAGUACGACUAUAUUAACUAGCAAUGUCUUCCUUAUAUGUUACUAUUUAUUUUGCUCAUAUUCAUUAUGUUUAAAUCACAUAGGCACCUUUUUGUUGGCAUCAAAAAAUUAGUAUCAACUUUCUAGAUUAAAGUGAAACUAAAAGUACCUAAAUUUCUAUCGGUGGGGAUCGAGUGAUUCUUUAAACCAAUUAUUACGCAAGUUAACCACACUAAAAUUAACAUUGGUGAACCGUGCCAUGAUUUUUUCUAAUGGAAAAUAGCCAAACCAAGCAACACAUAUGUGGCUAUCGUUACACAUGUGUAAAGGUAUUGCAUCACACCAUUGUCACCCAUGUAUUUGGACAAUACCGAGAGGAAAAACCACUUAUUUAUUGUAUUUUAUCAAGUUUGUCUUGCUUACGUAUAAAUUAUAACCCAACAAAGUAAUCACUAAAUGUCAAAACCAACUAGAUACCAUGUCAUCUCUACCUUAUCUUACUAAUAUUCUUUUUGCAAAAUCCAAAAUUAAUCUUGCACAAGCACAAGGACUGAGAUGUGUAUAAAUAUCUCUUAAAUUAGUAGCUAAUAUAUCACACAUAUUAUUGAGACCAACUAGCAACAUAGAAAGCACAAUAGUGUACCAACAAUGGCAGCUAAAAUAUUUUGCCUCCUUAUGCUCCUUGGUCUUUCUGCAAGUGCUGCUACGGCGACCAUUUUCCCACAAUGCUCACAAGCUCCUAUAGCUUCCCUUCUUCCCCCGUACCUCUCACCAACGGUGUCUUCGGUAUGUGAAAACCCAAUUCUUCAACCCUACAGGAUCCAACAGGCAAUCGCAGCUGGCAUCUUACCUUUAUCACCCUUGUUCCUCCAACAAUCAUCAGCCCUAUUACAGCAGUUACCUUUGGUGCAUUUAUUGGCACAAAACAUCAGGGCACAACAACUACAACAACUUGUGCUAGCAAACCUUGCUGCCUACUCUCAGCAACAGCAGUUUCUUCCAUUCAACCAACUAGCUGCAUUGAACUCUGCUUCUUAUUUGCAACAACAACAACUACCAUUCAGCCAGCUAUCUGCUGCCUACCCCCAGCAAUUUCUUCCAUUCAACCAACUGACAGCAUUGAACUCUCCUGCUUAUUUACAGCAGCAACAACUACUACCAUUCAGCCAGCUAGCUGGUGUGAGCCCUGCUACCUUCUUGACACAACCACAGUUGUUGCCGUUCUACCAGCACGCUGCGCCUAACGCUGGCACCCUCUUACAACUGCAACAAUUGCUGCCAUUCAACCAACUUGCUUUGACAAACCCAGCAGCAUUCUACCAACAACCCAUCAUUGGUGGUGCCCUCUUUUAGAUUUCUUAUGAGUUAUAGUUCAAUAAUAAAGUUUUUUGUCUGAUGUUUGUGGCUUCCCAGAAAUAAGAAAGUACAUUUCUAGAUUCUUAUGUGCUUCUAGUCUCCAAAUGUGGUUGAUAGUUAUUUUGCUCUAAGAUCAACAGUAAUGAAGUAUAAAUCAUCGUUGUGGUGUGCUACUCGGUUAAUUGAGCAUUAACACACACAAACAUGACGAGGAUGGUAUAAUCUCCAAAAAUGUGUACUUUGUUAGGUGGGACCCUAUAGCCUUGAUUAAUGUGCUAUGUUAGGCAUGCCUGGAAACGUGUGACGCAUAUGUUUUGUGAACCUGUUGAUAUUAUAUGUGCUUUUAUAUUACCAUAUUUUAUUAAAAUACUAAUAUUUAUUACUAGUAAGAUAUAACAUUCUAUCUAGCUUAAAAACUAACCAUAAAUAUUCCAUAAUAACUAGAUUUACCAAACUAAUAUACUAAAUAUACAUAAUAAAUACAAAAUUAACAAGACAAUAAUCAAUAUUUAUGAGCUUAAUAUAUUUAGACAUUAUGGUUGGUCGACGAUAAUCAUGCUAACUUUUCGUAAUUGCUUGAUUGUAAAUAUGCUUAGAAUAAUGCCUCUUUGUUCUACAUGGCAAAUAGGGACCAUUAUGGUGUAACACCCUGGGAACCACAAACACCCCGAAAUGCUACUAAACUACACAACUAACCUUCAUAUAUAAAAUUUCGACAGCAUCUCCUUUGAAAAUUUGCAUAGACGUGGAAGCAACAGAGUAUAAACAGAUAUCAUGAUAAGAAAACAUACUAGACAUUAAUAAUCUGCUAGAAAUGGGAAGAUAACCAUAACGACAUAAACUGAAUUAACUAGUGUGCACAACUUGUUAAAAACAAACAUCGUUGACAAGAAGUUUCUAAUUAAAUCAUGGUUGUGCCUGGGCAGCGUUAUUAUGAGAGUGAAGGUGGACGUGAUGCUACUUCCCUCAUUCCCAACAUGAAUCAAGUACCUGCAUUGAGCAAUGCAAGAGUGAGAUGAAAACAUCUCAGCAAGUAAAUUGUUUUGACGAGAUAUUUAAACCAAAAAAAUUUGAUUUACUCAACAUUUUAAAGGGAUCACAAUUGAGAUCAGAAAUACUUGUAGAUAUAGAACUCAAUAGUCCCAAAAUAACCAGUGCCAUCUCAUUUCCUCAAACAACCACAAUAGGUUGUAUAACACUUCCCUGCGUCAUCAAUACCUGCAAAUAUCACUUCAAUGUAUGCAUAGGAAUGCAAUGUUUAAGUCCUCUGCAUUCAUACUUCUUAGAGUAUAAAACCACACCAUCUGCAAAUAUCACUUCAAUGAAUGCAUAUGAAUGCAAUGCAUAUGUCCUCUGCCUUCAUACCUCUAAGGGUAUGAAGCCGAAUCGUACCCCUCCUCGGGCAACGUACGAUGCUAAGUUGUACCGGUACGGUCGGACCAUAGGUCACGACAAAACUUCAUAUGCAAGUGAAUCAUGACAUGUAUAUGGCUUGCUGCAUUUAUCAAUAUACUUCACUUCCUUCAUAUACAAUACAAACCUCAAAUAAUACUUCGUUUACCUUCAGAUACAAUACAAACCUCAAAUAAUACUUCAUUCACCUUCAGGGGUGUUUAUUAAUCUCGUGGGUCAUACUCGAAUCAUCAUCAUCAUCAAUGAUGAUUAAGCAUCAGUAUAAUACAAUCAAGUAAAGCAUCACCAUAGAGUUCAAUUAUGAAAGAAUUCGAUGAUUCUGAAUAUUAGAGUGUAUGCGAUGAAACAACAACGUCAAAACGGUAGCAACCACCGCUACAUUCAUUUGCCUUCAUCGAAGAAGAAAAAUGUACUAGGCAUGAUUCAGAGUGUAGACACCUGCUGUGGGGCUUAAAACUUAGUACAAAUAUUCCACAAACAUUUGCCAACAAUUAACAAAUCGCUCCUACACUUGAAACCAAGACCCGGUGGAAUGACUCCCACCCUGAACCACAUGCCAAACAAUAGUAGUGCUGUUUGUUAAUUUUGUAUCUUUAAAAUUAUAACAGUGGUGAUAUCAAACAAAUACUCUAGAAGUUUCUACACAAAAUACUCUACAACUUCGGUAUUCAAUGGAUAAUUAAAUUUUGCCAUCUAUAAGUUCUAAAACAUCUGAUAAGAUAACUGACUGAAUUUGUUUCAGACAGCAGCAUAGUUAACUUCAAAAUUCGAUAUCUCCCAAACUCCUCAACCAAAAAUUAUGAAAUUAUGCUGACAGUAAGAACUUUUUGUCCCUCUACAAAAGUAUCUAUAGUUGGAAGAGCCAAUUCGGCCAUUUACUAGAUGAAACCUACCAGUUAACAGACCCGCUCAUUUUUGUCAGGCAAACAAGAACCCUUAUAUAUCAAAGAGUAGUGGAUUUGAAUUUGUCUAAUAUGAAGUUUAUGGGCUUGGAUCAUUUAAAGUAUUUUAUAAUUCUGAAAGACAAGAUUAAACUAACUAUGUAUGAUCCUUUAGCACCGUACAGAUGGUCGAUGGGACAGUUACAUGGUUUAUAUAGAUGGACCUAUCUAUAUUCCUUCAGUGGUUGAGAAAAAGGUAAAGGUGUGUCACACUCACGUGUGCGCCGCCUCUGCCGAGAUGAGGCAUGGCGUUGCAAGGUGAGGCAUGGCAUGGUGCAGCACGAUCGCAGUCAUGGUCGUGGCACAGUGUAGCACUGUUGUGGAUAGAUAGAUAAACUAUUGUUGUAGUUAGAGUGCAUGAGUUUUUGAAUGCAACACUAGGAUUUUCACAAUUUAACUUAAUUAAGAAGUUAUAUCUUGAUGACACAGAGUUACCUGACCAUUGAUCUCACAUGCCCUUUUAGCUCUCUUGUUCUCUAGACUCACCCUGACUAUUGAGGUCUCUUGACUCGCCAAUAUAAACACCAUCCUAUCAUUUGCUCUCGAAUACUUUUGUGUCACAACUCAACUGUCAGAUGAGUACUCCAUUACAGCACUGAGCAGGCCUCCGAAAUGAAUAUCUACUCAGAUGAAGGACGACAAUCGUGUUCUAGGGAAAUAUCAGUGACACAACUCCUUACUUCCUCUGCUUCUUCCUAGUGUUUUUUGUUGUGAUUGAGUCGACACAGCAACAACACUGCACUAUUACAACCAGUACGACUAUAUUAACUAGCAAUGUCUUCCUUAUAUGUUACUAUUUAUUUUGCUCAUAUUCAUUAUGUUUAAAUCACAUAGGCACCUUUUUGUUGGCAUCAAAAAAUUAGUAUCAACUUUCUAGAUUAAAGUGAAACUAAAAGUACCUAAAUUUCUAUCGGUGGGGAUCGAGUGAUUCUUUAAACCGAUUAUUACACAAGUGAACCACACUAAAAUUAACAUUGGUGAAUCGUGCCAUGAUUUUUUCUAGUGGAAAAUAGCCAAACCAAGCAACACAUAUGUGGCUAUCGUUACACAUGUGUAAAGGUAUUGCAUCACACCAUUGUCACCCAUGUAUUUGGACAAUACCGAGAGGAAAAACCACUUAUUUAUUGUAUUUUAUCAAGUUUGUCUUGCUUACGUAUAAAUUAUAACCCAACAAAGUAAUCACUAAAUGUCAAAACCAACUAGAUACCAUGUCAUCUCUACCUUAUCUUACUAAUAUUCUUUUUGCAAAAUCCAAAAUUAAUCUUGCACAAGCACAAGGACUGAGAUGUGUAUAAAUAUCUCUUAAAUUAGUAGCUAAUAUAUCACACAUAUUAUUGAGACCAACUAGCAACAUAGAAAGCACAAUAGUGUACCAACAAUGGCAGCCAAAAUAUUUUGCCUCCUUAUGCUCCUUGGUCUUUCUGCAAGUGCUGCUACGGCGACCAUUUUCCCACAAUGCUCACAAGCUCCUAUAGCUUCCCUUCUUCCCCCGUACCUCUCACCAGCGGUGUCUUCGGUAUGUGAAAACCCAAUUCUUCAACCCUAUAGGAUCCAACAGGCAAUCGCAGCUGGCAUCUUACCUUUAUCACCCUUGUUCCUCCAACAAUCAUCAGCCCUAUUACAGCAGUUACCUUUGGUGCAUUUAUUGGCACAAAACAUCAGGGCACAACAACUACAACAACUUGUGCUAGCAAACCUUGCUGCCUACUCUCAGCAACAACAGUUUCUUCCAUUCAACCAACUAGCUGCAUUGAACUCUGCUUCUUAUUUGCAACAACAACAACUACCAUUCAGCCAGCUAUCUGCUGCCUACCCCCAGCAAUUUCUUCCAUUCAACCAACUGACAGCUUUGAACUCUCCUGCUUAUUUACAGCAGCAACAACUACUACCAUUCAGCCAGCUAGCUGGUGUGAGCCCUGCUACCUUCUUGACACAACCACAAUUGUUGCCGUUCUACCAGCACGCUGCGCCUAACGCUGGCACCCUCUUACAACUGCAACAAUUGCUGCCAUUCAACCAACUUGCUUUGACAAACCCAACAGCAUUCUACCAACAACCCAUCAUUGGUGGUGCCCUCUUUUAGAUUUCUUAUGAGUUAUAGUUCAAUAAUAAAGUUUUUUGUCUGAUGUUUGUGGCUUCCCAGAAAUAAGAAAGUACAUUUCUAGAUUCUUAUGUGCUUCUAGUCUCCAAAUGUGGUUGAUAGUUAUUUUGCUCUAAGAUUAGCAGUAAUGAAGUAUAAAUCAUCGUUGUGGUGUGCUACUCGGUUAAUUGAGCAUUAACACACACAAACAUGACGAGGAUGGUAUAAUCUCCAAAAAUGUGUACUUUGUUAGGUGGGACCCUAUAGCCUUGCAGAAUGUGCUACGUUAGGCAUGCCAAUGGAAACGUGUGACACAUACGUUUUGUGAAUCUGUUGAUAUUAUAUGUGCUUUUAUAUUACCAUAUUUUAUUAAAAUACUAAUAUUUAUUACUAGUAAGAUAUAACAUUCUAUCUAGCUUAAAAACUAACCAUAAAUAUUCCAUAAUAACUAGAUUUACCAAACUAAUAUACUAAAUAUACAUAAUAAAUAUAAAAUUAACAAGACAAUAAUUAAUAUUUAUGAGCUUAAUUUAUUUAGACAUUAUGGUUGGUCGACGAUAAUCAUGCUAACUUUCCGUAAUUGCUUGAUUGUAAAUAUGCUUAGAAUAAUGCCUCUUUGUUCUACAUGGCAAAUAGGGACCAUUAUGGUGUAACACCCCGGGAUCCACAAACACCCCGAAAUGCUACUAAACUACACAACUAACCUUCAUAUAUAAAAUUUCGACAGCAUCUCCUUUGAAAAUUUGCAUAAACGUGGAAGCAACAGAGUAUAAACAGAUAUCAUGAUAAGGAAACAUACUAGACAUUAAUAAUCUGCUAGAAAUGGGAAGAUAACCAUAACGACAUAAACUGAAUUAACUAGUGUGCACAACUUGUUAAAAACAAACAUCGUUGACAAGAAGUUUCUAAUUAAAUCAUGGUUGUGCCUGGGCAGCGUUAUUAUGAGAGUGAAGGUGGACGUGAUGCUACUUCCCUCAUUCCCAACAUGAAUCAAGUACCUGCAUUGAGUAAUGCAAGAGUGAGAUGAAAACAUCUCAGCAAGUAAAUUGUUUUGACGAGAUAUUUAAACCAAAAAAAUUGAUUUAAUCAACAUUUUAAAGGGAUCACAAUUGAGAUCAGAAAUACUUGUAGAUAUAGAACUCAAUAGUCCCAAAAUAACCAAUGCCAUCUCAUUUCCUCAAACAACCACAAUAGGUUGUAUAACACUUCCCUGCGUCAUCAAUACCUGCAAAUAUCACUUCAAUGUAUGCAUAGGAAUGCAAUGUUUAAGUCCUCUGCAUUCAUACUUCUUAGAGUAUAAAACCACACCAUCUGCAAAUAUCACUUCAAUGAAUGCAUAUGAAUGCAAUGCAUAUGUCCUCUGCCUUCAUACCUCUAAGGGUAUGAAGCCGCAUCGUACCCCUCCUCGGGCAACGUACGAUGCUAAGUUGUACCGGUACGGUCGGACCAUAGGUCACGACAAAACUUCAGAUGCAAGUGAAUCAUGACAUGUAUAUGGCAUGCUGCAUUUAUCAAUAUACUUCACUUCCUUCAUAUACAAUACAAACCUAAAAUAAUACUUCGUUUACCUUCAGAUACAAUACAAACCUCAAAUAAUACUUCAUUCACCUUCAGGGGUGUUUAUUAAUCUCGUGGGUCAUACUCAAAUCAUCAUCAUCAUCAAUGAUGUUUAAGCAUCAGUAUAAUACAAUCAAGUAAAGCAUCACCAUAGAGUUCAAUUAUGAAAGAAUUCGAUGAUUCUGAAUAUUAGAGUGUAUGCGAUGAAACAACAAAGUCAAAACGGUAGCAACCACCUCUACAUUCACUUGCCUUCAUCGAAGAAGAAAAAGGUACUAGGCAUGAUUCGGAGUGUAGACACCUGCUGUGGGGCUUAAAACUUAGUACAAAUAUUCCAUAAACAUUUGCCAACAAUUAACAAAUCGCUCCUACACUUGAAACCAAGACCCGGUGGAAUGACUCCCACCCUGAACCACAUGCCAAACAACAAUAGUGUUGUUUGUUAAUUUCUAUCUUUAAAAUUAUAACAGUGGUGAUAUCAAACAAAUACUCUAUACGUUUCUACACAAAAUACUCUACAACUUCGGUAUUCAAUGGAUAAUUAAAUUUUGCCAUCUAUAAGUUCUAAAACAUCUGACAAGAUAACUGACUGAAUCUGUUUCAGACAACAGCAUAGUUAACUUCAAAAUUCGAUAUCUCCCUAACUCCUCAACAAAAAAUUAUGAAAUUAUGCUGACAGUAAGAACUUUUAUCCCUCUACAAAAGUCUCCAUAGUUGAAAGAGCCAAUUCGGCCAUUUACUAGAUGAAACCUACCAGUUAACGGACCCGCUCAUUUUUGUCAAGCAAACAAGAACCCUUAUAUAUCAAAGAGUAGUGGAUUUGAAUUUGUCUAAUAUGAAGUUUACGGGCUUGGCUCAUUUAAAGUAUUUAAUAAUUCUGAAAGACAAGAUUAAACUAACUAUGUAUGAUCCUUUAGCACCGUACAGAUGGUCGAUGGGACAGUUACAUGGUUUAUAUAGAUGGACCUAUCUAUAUUCCUUCAGUGGUUGAGAAAAAAGUAAAGGUGUGUCACACUCACGUGUGCGCCGCCUCCGCCGAGACGAGGCAUGGCGUUGCAAGGUGAGGCAUGGCAUGGUGUAGCACGAUAGCAGUCAUGGUCGUGGCACAGUGUAGCACUGUUGUGGAUAGAUAGGUAAACUAUUGUUGUAGUUAGAGUGCAUGAGUUUUUGAAUGCAACACUAGAAUUUUCACAAUUUAACUUAAUUAAGAAGUUAUAUCUUGAUGACACAGAGUUACCUGACCAUUGAUCUCACAUGCCCUUUUAGCUCUCUCGUUCUCUAGACUCACCCUGACUAUUUAAGUCUCUUGACUCGCCAAUAUAAACACCAUCCUAUCAUUUGCUCUAGAAUACUUCUGUGUCACAACUCAACUGUCAGAUGAGUACUCCAUUACAGCACUUACGUACACGAGUUCUAUGAGAGCAGGCCUCCAAAAUGAAUAUCUACUUAGAUGAAGGACGACAAUCGUGUUCUAGGGAAAUAUCAGCGACACAACUCCUUACUUCCUUCGCUUCUUCCUAGUGUUUUUUGUUGUGAUUGAGUCGACACAGCAACAACACUGCACUAUUACAACCAGUACGACUAUAUCAACUAGCAAUGUCUUCCUUAUAUGUUACUAUUUAUUUUGCACAUAUUCAUUAUGUUUAAAUCACAUAGGCACCUUUCUAUUGGCAUCAAAAAAUUAGUAUCAACUUUCUAGAUUAAAAUGAAACUAAAAGUACAUAAAUUUCUAUCGGUGGGGAUCGAGUGAUUCUUUAAACCGAUUAUUACACAAGUUAACCACACUAAAAUUAACAUUGGUGAAUCGUGCCAUGAUUUUUUUUCUAGUGGAAAAUAGCCAAACCAAGCAACACAUAUGUGGCUAUCGUUACACAUGUGUAAAGGUAUUGCAUCACACUAUUGUCACCCAUGUAUUUGGACAAUACCGAGAGGAAAAACCACUUAUUUAUUGUAUUUUAUCAAGUUUGUCUUGCUUACGUAUAAAAUUAUAACCCAACAAAGUAAUCACUAAACGUCAAAACCAACUAGAUAUCAUGUCAUCUCUACCUUAUCUUACUAAUAUUCUUUUUGCAAAAUCCAAAAUUAAUCUUGCACAAGCACAAGGACUGAGAUGUGUAUAAAUAUCUCUUAAAUUAGUAGCUAAUAUAUCGCACAUAUUAUUUAGACCAACUAGCAACAUAGAAAGCACAAUAGUGUACCAACAAUGGCAGCCAAAAUAUUUUGCCUCCUUAUGCUCCUUGGUAUUUCUGCAAGUGCUGCUACGGCGACCAUUUUCCCGCAAUGCUCACAAGCUCCUAUAGCUUCCCUUCUUCCCCCGUACCUCUCACCAGCGGUGUCUUCGGUAUGUGAAAACCCAAUUCUUCAACCCUACAGGAUCCAACAGGCAAUCGCAGCUGGCAUCUUACCUUUAUCACCCUUGUUCCUCCAACAAUCAUCAGCCCUAUUACAGCAGUUACCUUUGGUGCAUUUAUUGGCACAAAACAUCAGGGCACAACAACUACAACAACUUGUGCUAGCAAACCUUGCUGCCUACUCUCAGCAACAGCAGUUUCUUCCAUUCAACCAACUAGCUGCAUUGAACUCUGCUUCUUAUUUGCAACAACAACAACUACCAUUCAGCCAGCUACCUGUUGCCUACCCCCAGCAAUUUCUUCCAUUCAACCAACUGGCAGCAUUGAACUCUCCUGCUUAUUUACAGCAGCAACAACUACUACCAUUCAGCCAGCUAGCUGGUGUGAGCCCUGCUACCUUCUUGACACAACCACAGUUGUUGCCGUUCUACCAGCACGCUGCGCCUAACGCUGGCACCCUCUUACAACUGCAACAAUUGCUGCCAUUCAACCAACUUGCUUUGACAAACCUAGCAGUGUUCUACCAACAACCCAUCAUUGGUGGUGCCCUCUUUUAGAUUUCUUAUGAGUUAUAGUUCAAUAAUAAAGUUUUUUGUCUGAUGUUUGUGGCUUCCCAGAAAUAAGAAAGUACAUUUCUAGAUUCUUAUGUGCUUCUAGUCUCCAAAUGUGGUUGAUAGUUAUUUUGCUCUAAGAUCAGCAGUACAACAACAACAACAACAACAACAACAACAACAACAAAGCCUUUUUGUCCCAAGCACGUUGGGGUAGGCUAGAGAUGAAACCCCGUAUGAAAACCUCAGAGCUCAACCCCCAAAGAACAGAAAAGGGAAACAAAGGCAAAGGAGAACCGAAAACAACGAAACGGGGAAACACAUAAAAGAGAUAAAACCCACAAGGACCAGCAAGAUCUAAAAUGGACACAAGAAAAGGUCAAACGAUUAAGGAGGAA